UUCCCCCGUCUCCAAUCCUGUGUGUGGCGGCUGCAGCCUCAUCCUCCUCUUGCCCUGCACCUUUGUUCAUUCUCAUCCUCCCGUGCUCCAUGCCUCCAUCUCUGCCCCUCCUCCUCCGGCUUCACAUGUGCCCAGCCACCUUCUCCUCCAGCCCUCCACCUCCUCAAUAACUGCUCCUUCUUCUCAGGGUCAUGGUUGUGGUAGUGCCGGGGACGCGGAAGGACGAGGGACCGUGUUCACGGCCAGAUCCUCAAGAACUGCUCCCUUCUAGUUUGGUCUAUAUUGUUUCGAAACAUGGGUUGUAUGAUUUUAUAUGUGUAUUUGAUAAAGAUUAUGCUGUAUGUUUUUACUCUAGUUUAUUUCAAAUUUUGUUCAGAUUUCAAAUUUUGUUUUGUCAUUUUCGUCCGAAAUUUUCCGAAAAAUAUCCGAAAAUCCGAAUUCCGCCCAUUUCGCCCAGGCCCGGUAAAAUUUGCAAAACGAAAUCCAAAAUCUUGCUACGUAUAAAUUCCGUGGCUAGCCGAAUAGAGAUCAUUGGAGCACCUGUUGCUGUUGGCGACGUUCUCGUUGUCAUGGCUGAGAACCCGGCUGCUGCUGCAGUCAAUCUCGGCGCAGGACUCCGGCUACCGGAGACGUCAUCGAGAUGCGUCAUGGAGAGCGGCGCACACAACUUCGAGGUGACUAAUUAUGCGCUGCUUGAGGGACUGGGCGUCGGGAAGUACAUCGCCUCAAGCACAUUCAGGGUCGGCGGCUACGAUUGGAAUAUGAGGUUCUACCCGGACGGAGAGAGGAAGGAGUCUGCCGGCAACGCUUCAGCCUUCUUGGCUAAUCUCAGCCAGGCCAAGGACGAGGUGAGGACAAAGUUCACCUUAAGCAUGCUGGACGAUCAUGGCAAUGCACAGGAAAGCAAUCGCUGUGAUUACGUAGUGGAGCACAUAUUUACCCAGCAAGCUUUGAGCAUCGGCUUCUCAAAAUUCGUUGAGAAAUCCAAGCUCAAACCCUCAUCUCACCUCAUAACCCUACGGUGCGUUCUCACCGUGAUUAAAGAACCGCCCGCGGAUUGCCGGCGAAACCCCAUCGUGGUUCCACCGUCGGAGCUGCCCGGCCGCCUCGAGCGCGCCCUUAAGGACGGGAAGGGCACCGACGUGACGCUCCUCGUGGGUGGCAGGGAGUUCAUCGCCCACAGGUUCAUGCUGGCCGCACAGUCGCCGGUUUUCGACGCUCAGCUCUUUGGCCCGAUGACGGAUGAGGAGGACACGCGGCGCAUAGAGGUUGUCGACAUGGAGCCGGCCAUCUUUGAGAUGCUUCUUCACUACAUCUACAAGGAUUCGCUGCCCUCAUGUGGCGAGAAAGGUUACGAUGCUGCGACCAUGCAGCACUUGCUAGUGGCGGCAGACCGGUACGGCAUGGACAGGCUCAAGGCGAUGUGCGAGGAGAAGCUGUUGGAAAGCAUCAACGUGCAGACCGUUACAAGUACAUUGGCGCUUGCAGAUCGGCACUUCUGCGAGCAGCUCAAGGAUGCUUGUGACAAGUUUCUUUCUGCGCCGGGAAUAGCGGCCAUUGUCUUGUUAAGAAACGGGUGCACACGCCUCAUGGCAAUGCUACAAUCGGGGCACAAGGAGGAGGCAGCUGCCGCGGGGACGAAGUAAUCUAGCUAGACCCAAAAAUAAUCAUUUUUUUCUUUCAUCAAAAUAAAUUUUUAUUUUUUACUGUGGUUUGAUUCAGGGACGGACCUAGAAACUUUAUUGAGUGGGGGCAAAAUACUUGAGUGAGGGCAUAUUUUAUUUUGUAUAAAUUUAGAGAGUUUUAGUAUAUAUUUUCUAAACAUACAAUCAAAUUCUACAGGAUUUUCAAAACUUCAGUGGGGCCAUGGCCCCCACUCACAUCAACGUGAGUCCGCCCCUGGUUUGAUCAAUUUCUGGUACGAUCCUAGAAGAAAUCUGGUGUUAAUAAUCACAUCCAUCAAGUUUCAGAAUUUUUUGAUUUUGUUCUUUUUUUCUGAAUUUACUGUUUAUUGCGUGGAUGCACCGAAGAUGACUGCAGCACUAACGCAUCCGCUGUUCCAUCGAUCGGCGUUUGCUUCUCCACGGGGAAGCUGCAGUUUUAAUAAAUGAAGAAACAUGGAAACAAUCGUACAACAGGACGGUACAUCCACACCAAUAGGUAGCAGGAAUCAUGCGAGAACCGAGAUGGUAUCUACUCCUACAUCGAAAAGGAAUACGCGUACGCAUGCCGGCUGUGACUGCCGGGCGGAGAGGAGAGAUCGUCGGUCGGUUCGAUAGUGGCGGGGAUACCCGCUGCCGCUUUGGUUCGCCAUGGCUCACAACGCGGCCGCUGCAGUUGAUCCCGGCGAAGGGCUCCUGGCUCCCGUCGCGACGUCGAGGUGCGUCGUGGAGGGCGCGACACACGAUUCCCAGGUCACCAACUACCGACUGCUUGAUGGCAUGUGCAUCAGAAAAUAUAUUAGCUCAUGCACGUACUAGUCUGGCCAACGUAGGGCACAACAAAGAUCAUGCGCGUAUGCCACGCCAAGAUAGUCCCAACGAUUGCCACUGUUAGGUUUUCGUCUCCAGAUCCAUCUCCUCCUGUAGGCGGCGCCAUCUCUAGUACUACUAUUUUAUGCCAACGGCUGUUACUGUCCGAGAUGCACGCGCUGGCUGCGGCUGGGUACAGACGCAUCCGUUGAUAAGGAGAGUCCGACGCGGUGGCCUAAUACAAUAUGCUGGUCGCGCUCAUCAACUCCAUAUGCUGCGAGAAGCAGGUUUGCGCACGACUGGAUCAUAACAUGUUCCGGCCAAACAGGGUGAAGGCGCUAGUCACCUUGGGCGUUACUUUCCAGCAGUCGGAGCCCCGCUUGGUAGCUCGUGCACGGACGAGUAGUAUAUGUGCCGCAUCUAGGUUGUAUAACUCUUGAGAGCAUCUCCAACAGUUCGUAUGUUCAAUCGUUGGUAUAUGGAAGAAAUAACCAUAGAGUGUUCACGUCAACAAUCAACAACACAUCAUACAAGCUCUUCAAUAGAGUGUAUAUGUGAAUCGUAUGUAAAAUAACUAAGGGGGUCCACUAAAUAUGGAAGAAAUAACCAUACUUGCCUCGGAGCUUGUGCGUGAACCGUUGCUUCAAGUUCAUACGAUGUCAUUCUCUCUCUUCUUUUAUUAUACGCCAUGUCAUCAAAAUCAUCUAUGUGGCAAUUUUACCAACGAUGAUUAUACGAUCAUUGGAGAUGCCCUGAUGCAAGGAUGGUUUCAUACUAGCUUUGUGCCUCGCGUUCGGUGUUCGAUGUUGCCUAUCUAGUCAUGGAAGACUUGAACCAAGUGCGUUGGGCAUUUGCCCUCACUUCGUAGUUUCAUUUUUGUUGGAUUUAUAAUGUAAAUUUUGAGCUAGUUUGUAAGCUUGUAUGUAACUCUUGUACAUUGUUUUUUUUCUUUUUUCCUUCUAUAUGAAAUGGGCAGAGCACCUGCCUUUCACGUCAAAAAAAAUACUAGCUUUGUGCCUCUUCUAGCCGAAUUAAAUUAAUCUGACUGCAAAUUAUUGCGUAUUAUUGCAAUGAUAACUUACUUCCUCCUAUGCAUGUUCGAGAUGUCCAACGAAAUUUCAAAACACAUCCAAUUCACAAUAUAAUAGAAUCCGAGGACUGUGGAGGUGGUUAAUUUUGUUGGAAUAAUUAGGAUGAGUUCAAGCACCGGCAAUUAAGUAAGAAAUAACUUAUAGUGCUUAUUUUAUGUUUUAAAAAACGCACAUGAGUUACGGAUCAAAUUGGUGGCUGAUGAUCAAAUAAUAUUCAUAUAAAAACUACAAAAUUAUAUUAAGUUUUCCAUCAAUUUUUUUUAUUAAGGAGGCCCAAAUUUUGGUUUCGCCCUGGACCCUCGUAACCUCAGGACCUGACCUGUGGCUAGGAUUGGAACAUCAGGUUCUACCCGGACGGACGUUGCCGCCUACGCGUCAGUCUUCUUGUGUUAUCUCACCUUAACCAGGCUGUUAUCAGAGUGCAUCUUUUCUCCAGGUCAAGAGAAUCCAUGGGGCUUUUCAAAAUUCGUCGAGAAAUCCAAGCUCAAAUCGUCAUCACACCUCCUAACAAUAAGGCGCCUUCUCGCCGUGAUCAAAGAACCACCCGCGGAGUGCAAGACCAAUCUAAUCGUGGACCCUCCGUCGGAGCUGCCCGGCCGCCUCCACCGCGCCCUCGAGAACGGUAUAGGCACCGACAUCAAGCUCCUCGUGGGCGGCAGGGAGUUCAGUGCGCACAGGUUCAUGCCACGCAGUCGCCGGUUUUCAGAGCUCAGCUCUUCGGCCCGAUGGCACAUGAGGACAUGUGGCGUAUCAUAAUUGUCAACAUGGAGCCGGCCAUCUUCUAGAUGUUUCUUGACUACGUCUACAAGGAUUCGUUGCCGCCGUGUGGCGAAGACGAUUACGGUACAACCACGAUGCAGCAUUUGCUAGUCGCUGCGGACCGGUACGGGCUUGACAGGUUGAAGGUGAUGUGCGAAAAGAGGUUGUACGAAAACAUCAACCCGACAACAGCCACGAGUACAUUGGCACUAGCAACUCACCACUACUUUGACAAGCUCAAGGAUGCAUGCUUAAAGUUUAUGUCGUCGUCACGGGAAGUCAUGGAUGCAGUCGUGGCAACCGAAGGGUUCCAACACGCCAUGGCAAGUUGCCCCAUGCUAGAUUUGCAUAAGAACACAGGGGAAAAGGUAACCAUCGUUAGGAAGUAACCCAAGAAGGAAGUGAAAUUCUAAAAUUUCUUUUGUACAAGUCCCAUACUUUUUGAGGUUGGUACAUAUAGUACUAAAGUGCGGAAAUUGCUUUUGGUGGCCGAGCUCCAUGAAGGCCUUUAAAUUUGAAAUUCAAAUUUCAUGAAAAUUCAUAUUUUUACAUUUCAAAAAAUUACGAAAAAAAAUACAGGGAUAAGUGAAGGCGUAACACACAUGUGUGUAAAUUUUUAGAAAAAAAUACAUUGAAAUGAGGGCUGUGCAAAAAAGACAAAUCUGAGGCUUUUUUACACAUGACACUAUUCAUCAUUUCAGGUCAUAAAUUUGUCUUUUUUGUGCAGAUCGUAUUUCAAGGUAUUUCAUCCUAAAUUUUUGCACACAUACGCAUAACAUCCUUCUUUACUUCCAUAUUUUUUCAGAUUUUUUUGAAACCAAAAAGUUUGAAUUUUAAAUUAUUCAAAAAUUUCGGCCUCCAUGGAGGCCGAGCUCCAAACGUCCGCACUCACUAAAGUGUUUCUUUAAAGCUAACACAUACGUAAAUCUCGCGGGAUUCGGUCGACCACAUGGAUCUUGUUUUCACUCGUGUAUGUUCGUGUGUCUAUAGAUUGGAUCCUUUCAAUCUAAACUUCUCUUCAUUGGCAGUUGUUGCUAUUCUGGUGUACUGAUCCUUUGAUCUCAGUAGACUUCUCUUCGUCGGCAGGUCAUCUAUAGUAGCAAUUUAUUAUUUUUCAUUUGGAAUGCACAAUUUUUUUUAAUGCAAUAACUAAUUGCAUCUAGAUUUGUUGCCUGACUUGCAUCAGUUGAAAAACAUGUCUUGUUGUUCUAAUUAAUUACUUCAUGCAAACUGGGAACGUUCCAAUUCCUUUGUACUUGGACUUUUAACUUGCGGACGGAGACUUUUGUGCAGGAAGUACCUCUUCUAGUUUGUCUUGAAACCAUACAACAAUUAGGAAGUCUUCACUUAUCAAUGUAUACAUGCAGGCAAGGGUACCAUUGCCUAAGCUUAACUGAUGGCUUUGACGAAGGGUGCCAGUUCACUAUUCUUCAGGUUACUGAUUUGUCUGUGGUUCAUUAGUCUUUCAUGCCCAGCGAAUGAUAGGAUAGGUGCAGGGCUUGCUUUCAGCUUUCUUGUCUCUACUUUCUUCUUUUCUUGUCACAAAUUUCAUACGCGCUUUCUUCUUUUCUUGUCCCAAUUUCAUAUCAGAUUGGAAGACUUACUUGACUUAUUUUGCUUGGAAGAAGUUACACUUGUUAAAUAAUUAAGUGUCCAGACUAUAAUCUGCUUUUGUUGUGGUGUCAAACUAUAACAUAUAUGUUCUGUGUGAAUCUGUUUGUCAAAAUCUAAUUGGAUUGGCAGUGAUACUUAUAUUUGUUGUCCACUUGUUCUCAUUACAGUGCUAUAUUUUCAUUUGCUUAAUUGUGUAACUUGUCUUGCCAUCUCCGGAUUAUUUCAAUUGGUUAUCCCCUUCUUGUGAUCACUGUUUUAUUGUUUCUCACAAAUAGUUUGGUAAUUUGUAGACAACGGGAAGCAAUAUUGGAGAUACUCGCAAUGUUCGGAGCGAUAUCUAUGGUGGUGAGCAUAAUAUGAGUGCCAAAGAGUAGAGCAUACUUCUCUAAGUCAUUCAACCAACUGAAGUUCUCAAGAUGCAGUCAUGAUGGUGCUUAAUGUUUUUGUAACAUUAUGUUCUAGUUACUAUUUUCUCCCCCCCCCCCCCUUUGAUGGAUCAUUAAAUAAUGUUAUUUGGAUGCAACUCUUGUUCUGCUUUUGAUAUAUUAUGAGAUUGUGCAAAAUAUAAUUCCUCUUUUGUUACUUGGGUCAAAUAUAUGGCACUGCCGAUGGUUUUGAAGUAUCCCAUGAUUGUGAUAUUAGCACUUUGUGCAAUAUUCUGAAAUGCUUAGUGAUAGUUACCAGCAUAACUAAAAUAUAUAGAUUGUCAAACUCUUGGCAAUUAUACAAACUCAUGGUUUAUGAGGACCACUCGGCUAUAACAAUGUCCCACAGUGUACGCACACCAUCAACCUUUAUUAAUCCUGAUGGUGUUAGGCACCCUCUUGGCUAUAACUAAACGUGAGGGUACUAAUAUACUGUCAACCAUGUCAAUACCGACGGGCAGGGACGGAGCCAGCAUGCAAGCAUAGAGGGGGUAAGUUGUUCAUGGAGGGGGCAAAAUUCAUAUGAAAUGAAAUUUUUUGACUACAACAACCACUAUUAUAGUAAAAAAAACCCACUAGAAGACAGUGCACGACAUUGGCCAGCAAUUACUGAAAUAAAAUUCUACAACCUUCUUAUAACCGGAUAAAAAACGGAAAAACAGUGCACAACAUUGGUCAGCAAUUACUGAAGCGUAUCGGCUGCACAUUAUUUGUUGCAGCAGACAGGAAACAAGAAGACUAGCGAGCCCGUAAUCCCAAAAUCACUAGUUAAGGAGUACAUCUUUCAACAAUUACGUCCACCUCCCAGAUGGCGUCAAGUGACACACUGCAUACGUGUCACUUGCCGCAAUCGGGUAAUUUCCCUUUUUUCGCAGAUCCGUAUUUUCAAAACAUUUUAUCUUCCUAAAUCGCGCGUUCAAAUCUUAAACCGUUUUCACCGUUGGGUUUCUCGCGUCGAGAUCUUUAAAACUAGAUCCCAUGUUGAUAUGUUUUGACGACAUUUUAUUCAUGAAAAAACGGGACGAAAAAAUCGUGCCUCACGCGAUAGGAAAAAAAACAGAAAACAUAUUUUUUUUCCCUUUCCGAGAGGCCGCGAAGGCAAAACCGUGCCUCUCGCGAAGCCAACUCAUGCCUCUCACGGAAAAAAAGAGAGCAGAAAACGCGUGUUUUCCCUUUUCGAGAAGCACGGUCGUGCCUCUCGCGGAUGCAAAACCGUGCCUCACGUGAAAAAAAAGAAAGCAGAAAACGCGUUUUUCCCUUUUCGAGAGGCAUGGUCAUGCCUCUUACGGGAAAAAAGAGAGUAGAAAACACAUUUUUUUCCCUUUCUGAGAGACACGACCGUGCCUCUCGUGGAAGCAAAACCGUGUCUCUCACAAAAAAAUAGAAAACGCGUUUUUUCUUCUUCCGAGAGGCACGGUCGUGCCUCUCGCGAUAGCAAGACCGUGCCUCUGGCGAAAACAGAACCGUUCAUCUCGCAAAAAAACAUGUUUUUUCGGGCGAAUUUUUUUUAAUUUUUUUCAUCCAAAAGCUCGAAAGACCGGUGAAAACCCGAAACACCAAAAAAAUCAAGAAAAAAACACUCUAAAUAACCAAAAACGUAUGCGAAAAACUAAAAAAAGGACAAAAUCCAAAGAGAAUGCUAAGAACGCGACACGUGGCAGCGGCUGAGGUAGCUACUAACGGGGAACGAUCGGUUAUGAGCGCUAUCGACACAUGGUGAGGCAGCUACUGAGAAAGACAUGACCGAUGGGUCACCAUCGGCUUUGCACCGUGGGCGAAGAAGGUAAUCAACGGUACCGUCGGCUAUUUUAGUAAUGGCCGACCGAGCAUCACCGACAAGAGAUUUCCGACUGUACACCGUCGGCUAUAGUCUUAGCCCAUGGUGAACUUUAAUAUUGAGAUAUCUAGUAGUGUUACUUCUUUUAUAUGAUUUUAAAAAACUUUCAUGACUUAAAAAUGAAAUAAACAGAAAAUAUAUAUAUAUAAAUAAGACAAUAAAAUAAGCAAGAAAAUUAAGCGAAACAAAGAAAAUGGAAAAGAUGAGAUGCAAAAUUCUAGGACCUUCUUAAAACCGGAUGUAAAACCGAAAAACAGUGCAUGACAUUGGCCAGCAAUUAUUGAAGCCUAUCGGUUGCACAUUAUUUGUCGCAGAAGACUAGCAAGCCCGUAAUCCUGAAAUCACUAGUUAAAGAGUACACCUUUCAACUAUUACUCCUACCUUUCCAGAUGGCACGGGCCGUGCCUCUUACGAAGGUAAAACCGUGCCUCUCGCGAAAGGUUUACUCUUCUUUUCCCCUUUCCGAGAAGCAUGGACCGUGCAUCUCGCGAAGGCAAAAUUGUGCCUCUCGCGAAAGGUGUACUCUUUUUUGCCCUUUCAAGAGGCACGGAUUGUGCCUCUCGCGAAGGUAAAACCGUGCCUCUCACGGAAGCAAAAUCAUACCUCUCGCAGAAAAAAAGAGAGCAGAAGACGCGUUUUUUCCUUUUUCAAAAGGCACGGUCGUGCCUCUCGCGGAAGCAAAACCAUCCCUCAUGUGGAAAAAAGAGAGCAGAAAACACGUUUUUUUUCUUUCCGAGAGGCAUGGUCGUGCCUCUCGGAAAAAAGAGUAAAAAACGAGACACGACAGUGCCUCUCGCGAUAACAAAACCAUACCUCUAGCAGAAACAAAACCGUUCAUCUUGCAAAAAAAAAUGUCUUUUCGUGCUAAUUUUUUUUCAUCCAAUAGCUACGAAAGACCAAUGAAAAACCAAAAAAUCAAAAAAAAACACUCUAAAUAACCAAAAACGUAUGCGAAAAACUUAAAAAAACAAAAUCCAAAAAGAAUGCUCAGAGCGCGACACGUAGCGGCUGAGAACGCGCCAAGUAGCGACGUAUGGGCUCGCUCGAAGGUUUUUGAAGGAGAGCUUGCUAACUAGUUGCUCUCCGUAAUUCACCUCGUGAGUAGGCGGCAAUGAGGAGCGUCGUGGGGAAGUUGCCGAUUGGAUGGGCUUUUUUUUUGUUUGUUGGUUAUGUUGGNGGUUUUGUUGGGGAGGGGCUUUUAUUUUGUUUUUAUACUUGGAGACCCUGAUUUUCUUGGCCUCUCCUCUGUGUUUUUUUAAGAACGCCUCCCCUCUGGUCGAUGGGCCUGUUUUAACAGCUGGACGUGUAUAGUUUUGGCUCCUUGACUAGGCGUGAAAUCAAAGAAAAGGAGUCCUUGACAAGUUCCACGUACGCCCACGUACGCCUUGGCAAAUCGGCACCUUUGUGAUGGGCUCAAGCGUGCGUGCCUCGUGUUUCUUAUGCGCUCGCCGGAAGUCCUAGGCACCUUCCUUGAGACUAGCGGGUUCAACGAGCUCUGUGUCACAAAUUACCAGCCAUUGCCUCUCGAGUGGGAAGUCUUGGGGACGACCAAACGCAGUCAUCCAGAGGAAGAAAUUGAUCCAGGCCAGAAAUUAAAAAAGACCCGCGAUUCUGUUUGACGUUAGGCAUAAUGUUUUUUUACAUAAAUACAGUACCAUCCCUAUUAUAUAUACUUGUGUUUUUCUUUCGAGUUGCAAUACUAAUGCCUCAUAUAUAUAUUGACUAAUGAGAUAAUGCUUUGAAGUCCACAAAAUUUGGUGGUUUAUAUAUAAAGACCGUUAUGGCUGCAUGCAUCACUCGAUGCAGAGGCCGGGGCAAGGCCUUCUUUUCUAAAAAAAUAAUAUAUAAAGACCGUUGUGAGACUCAAAAUAUAGCUGUCUAGUAAAUCUUGGAUAUAGGUUGUUGUGUUCCUCUAAGGCUCCUAUGCCCUUCCCCUUCCGAUUUUUUCUACUCACAAGAGUGGCUCGUAAAUCCUCGACGGCCGGUAGCAAUUCUUGGCUUGGGGACGGGUGCUCUGCGCUGGAGUUUUGGAGGCCCCAGGGCGAACUCAAAUGUAUGGGUCCAGUGAAGACAUUGGAGGAAAAUUUUGAUUCCAUACACUGAUAAAAAUAAUCUUGAAAGCUAUAAUAGACAAUGAUGAUAACUAUGUAUUACUUCAUGUCUAGAUCAAAUACCAUAUAAGCUCCAAAGCAUAACAAAAAAAAUGACAUGCUAACGAACCUCCAUCCUCCAAGCCUCCAUAACCAUGAGCAACGGCACCUUCGUGCAUUUUUUGAUGCAAAAUCAUUAAUGACAGUGUCAAAAUCAAUGUUAUCCAACACAUCCUUCUCAAUACAACAUAUUGUCAAUCCAUUUAGUCUUUCUCGUGACAUAGUUGAUCUCAAAUAAUUUUUCAGUAACUUCAAUUAUGAAAAACUCCGUUUUGCUGAUGCUACAGUCAUAGGCACAGUUAAAGAAUUCGAUAAGCAAUUGAUACGUUUGGGUAACAAUCAGCAGCUCUAAGAAACUCAAAUAUGAGAUCAGCCGACAUGAAUGUAUUUGGCAAUGUCAUAUGCAACACUUUCAAUUCAGAAACAAAAUCAUCUAAGUCAACAUCUGUUGAGUUGUCAUGACAAAAAGUCUUUGCAAAAAUAGUGCAACAUCUUCUAAAAUCAAUAUCAUCCAAGGAUUUCAAUUUUUUGAAGUUGAAUAAGAAGCCGAAUAUUCUCCCAAAUGACAUCAGUGCACAUUAACUCGGACUACAACUUCUUACUAACCAUGUUGACAGUAAAUAAAAUAUCAUGCCAAAUGACUAUACCAAGUAAGAAUUCGAAAUUCCCGAGUGCAGCAACCAAAGACUUUAUUCAUUCUUCCGGGGCUGUCGUUUCCAUUAGGUUGUCGUUCUUCCGGGGCAUUGACAUCUAAUUCCUCAAGAUCAUCAGUAGUAUCAGUCCUCACAACAAAUUUAUUCAUCGCCCCCUUCUGCAAUCCAAUGGGCUCAUCUGUUUGUUUCCUCUUUUUUCUUUUUCUGGGAACCAGAUAAAUGUUUUUUUGGCAACAUGUUUGCAAGAAAAGGAACAAAGGGACCUGAAGGUUGUUGUUCAAAUCAGUGAGAGUCUGUGUUCUUCAGCUAUCCGAAUCUAAUCAUCAAGGAAACUAGAAUUUGAGGACCAAGUCGGCAACGCACGAACUCCGCUCCAAGUCUCCGACACUACUAUUACUGUUGUAAAAGGAAGAAUAUAGAUUAGUCACUAGAUUAAGAUUGGGGGCAAAGAAAAAGAGAAAUUCGUCUAGAAACUUACCUUUCUUUCCUGCAAGCAUCCCGCGACGGCCGCUGUCCAAUCGCCCGAUCUCCGAGGCGAGCGAGAGAACGAACCAGCAUGUUGAAUGAUGAGAAACAAAGUCGCUCGCCGCCUCGCCCUGUGUGUGCGUGCCUUCUUUAGGCCCCUUGGCAAUUGGGCUGCCGUUGGAAGUUGGAUGAUGAGCCUCUCAUCCUAUAGCCUUUUUCUUUUUUUAUUUUCAUUCAGAAAUUCAUCAGGGCCUAUAUCAUCUACUAUAUAUAUACACACUGCAGCAUAGGUCGGGGCCCCUAGUUUGGCAGGGCCCCGGACCAUCGCCCAUGCUGCCCUGGCCCAGAGCGGGCCCUGUGCACCAAGGAGAACAAUUUUUGAAUCUUGAAACCGAGAACAAUUUUUGAAUCUUGAGAACAAAUUUUGAAACCGUGAACAAUUUUUAUAAAUCGCAAAUAAUUUUUUAAAGCACGAACAUUUUUUAAUCUUGAGAACAAAAUUUUGAAACAAAACUAGAAAACUUGAAUAUUUUUUGAAUCUAUUAACAAAUUUUGAAACUAAGAACAUUUUUCAAAUUGUGAAUAAAAUUAUAAAAUGUUGAACAUUUUUCAAAUUGUGAACAAAAUUAUAAAAUUAUAAACAUUUUUUGAAUCUGCGAACAAAUUUUGAAAGUGAGAACAUUUUUUGAAUUGUAAAUAAAUUUGAAAACAUGAACAAAUUUCAAAUUCAUGGAGAAAAUUAAAAAUUAUGAACAAUUUUCGAAUUUGAAGAACAUUUUUUGAAAAAAUUGAACAUUUGUUUAAAAUCAAAAACAUUUUUUGAAAAUGCAGAAACAUUUUUAUAAAAUCCCGAACAUUUUUUGAAACAGAAACGGGAAAGAAAAAAGAGAUAGAGAAGAAAAAANNNNNNNNNNNNNNNNNNNNNNNNNNNNNNNNNNNAAAAAAAGGGAAGGAAUAAGUAAAAAAUAAAAAAAAAUGGUUCACGAACCUUCUAGAAGUUUUCCAAAAACCGGAAAAAACGGCUGAAAAUCUCUAGAAAUUUCCUAAAACCGGCGCUGCAACCCUCUAAAUAGGCCAGCCCAUUUAAAAUCGCUCCCUCCCUUCCCUUCCCUGUGCGAAACACACAACAGCGAAUAGGAAAUUCUGACAGGUAGAAGCAGUACUUCUUGCGUUAUGUAACCCUCUCUUAGCACAGGCCAGGGCCCGACAGCUCAGGCGCAUGUAAUUCAAUGACGACGAAAGCCAAAAUACAAGUGGCCUCGUCGAGGUAUGAUGCCAUGGCCUCGCGCGUCUUUAGUGUCGCUCGCUACAAUUGGGACGUCGUUUCUACCCGGAUGGACUCAGGGAUGAGUGACUGUUCCGGUUAUGCCUCAGCGUAUAUUGCACUACAUCCCUGCGAGGAAACGUAUUUGUUGGGCCAAGUUCACAAUUAGCAUGGCGGAGAAAAAGAGCUAGGUACACCUAGUCAACUUCGAUGAGGUGUCAGGCGUCUUCUCUCGGAAGAAACAUGACGAAUGGGGGCAGCACAGAUUCGUCGACAAGCCCAAGCUGGAAUCAUUGUCGGAACUCAUGGACGGCCGGGAGUUUCGCGCGCACAGGGUCCCUCCUGGCCGCGCGAUCGCCCGUCUUCGAUCGAGGCGCAGCUGUUUGGCAGACAAUCAUAUGCAGUGCGUCAAGGUCAUCGACAUGGAGCCCGCCAUCUUUGACAUGGUACCUCACUACAUCUACACGGACAUGAAGCCUGUAUGUGGUGAUGAAGAAGACCACGGUACAGCAGGGACGCAACGUUUGCUGGCCGCAUCGGAUGGGUACGGGUUGGACAGGCUCAAGUUGAUGUGCGAACAAGAGUUGUGCAAGAGAAUCGACGCGGCCACCAUCACAGCCACCUCGGCGUUGGCGGAUCAGCACCACUGCAAGAGGCUUCAGGAUGCAUGCCAGGAGUUUCUAUCACCGCGAUUCACAAAAAUUUUGUCGGUGACCACCGCGGCCGACUGACGGGUUUAAGCACAUCCCACUGGCUUUGCAAGAGAAACCCGGGGACAAAGGGAAGCCGGUGAAAAAGAAGAAAUUGGAAGAAACUGAUCGAAGCUGGAAUUUUGAAGUAUCCGUACAAAAGACCAAUGUAAAUUUUAUUUUGCAUAAAUAACCUUAUUAGCUAAGUGCCUAUUUAUGUGUUUUUUUUGUUUUAAAGUCGAAAACCUAUCGGGGUUUAGGUAUUGCAAAAUUAUUUGGCUUCUUAUGAAUUUACAUGCAUACAUGCGGCCGCAAUCGUCCAAUGCACUGUGGAAUUGCUAGCAACCUUAUUGCUCGCCCCUCAGCACCUACUCCCACUAGUAGAAAACAGAGCUUUGGUUCGGGCCUGGCCAGUCCAUUAGUCCCGGUUCUUCAUGAAUCGGGACCCAUGGGGACAUUAGACCCGGUUCAUGAGCUCACGGGGCCGGCCGGGGCCUCGUGGGCAUUGGUCCCGGUUUGUCUGGACCCAUUUGUCCCGGUUCUAGGCACGAACCGGGACCAAUGGGCCACGUUCCUGGUCCACAUCCAUUGGUACCGAUUCAUGCCUUGAACCGGUAUAGAAGGGGGGAGGGGCUUUAGCCCGGUUUAUGCCACGAACCGGGACAAAUAAUUUGCCUAUAUAUACCCAUCGCCGUGGCAGAGCGCUCUGCUUUUUCUGGCCGGCGAGGCGAGGGCAUUUGGGUGCUCUAGCCCACCUCCUAUGCACAUGAGGUGUUUGAUAAAAUGCCCGAGCCACACUAGUUAAGCUUUCUCCUCUCGAAGCUCGACCUCGGAGCUCCAUUUUUUCCGAGAUUUGUCUAGAUUUAGCGGUCCGUCACGCCCCAUCCCCGUUUUCACCGCCAUUGAUCGCUCGCACCGAUCUCGUCGCCGGCACCACCGUGGUGAGCCUCUUGUUCUUAUCUUCUUUCUGAUUUUCUUACUUUAGAUAGAUGGCAUUAAUCCUUUCAGGGAGCAGAGCAGCAAUCACAGCACCUGGCCCGUGACUCUAUGUGUGUAUAACCUUCCUCCUUGGAUGUGCAUGAAGCGGAAGUUCAUUAUGAUGCCAGUUCUCAUUCAAGGCCCUAAGCAACCCGGCAACGACAUUGAUGUGUACCUAAGGCCAUUAGUUGAAGAACUUUUACAGUUGUGGAAUGGAAACGGUGUACGUGUGUGGGAUGAGCACAAACAUGAGGAAUUUGACCUGCACGCGUUGCUGUUUGUAACUAUCAACGAUUGGCCCGUUCUCAGUAACCUUUUAGGACAGACAAACAAGGGAUACCACGCAUGCACGCACUGUUUAGCUAACACCGAAAGUAUAUACCUGGACAAAUGCAGGAAGAAUGUGUACCUGGGCCAUCGUCGAUUUCUUCCGACCAAACAUCAAUGUCGAAAGAAAGGCAAGCAUUUCAAAGGCGAGGCAGAUCACCGGAAGAAGCCCGCCAUGCGUAAUGGUGAUCACGUACUUGCUAUGGUCAAUGAUUUAAAAGUAAUCUUCGAAAAGGGUCCCGACAGACUAUCUGUUCCGAGUGACAUUGCGGGACACGCACCCAUGUGGAAGAAGAAAUCUAUAUUUUGGGAUCUACCCUACUGGAAAGACCUAGAGGUCCGCUCUUCGAUCGACGUGAUGCACGUGACAAAGAACCUUUGCAUGAACCUGCUAGGCUUUUUGGGCGUGUAUGGGAAGACAAAAGAUACAGCUGAGGCACGGGAGGACCUGCAACGUUUGCAUGAAAAAGACGGCAUGCCUCCAAAGCAGUAUGAAGGUCCUGCCAGCUACGCUCUUACCAAAGAAGAGAAGGAAAUCUUCUUUGAAUGCCUGCUUAGUAUGAAGUUCCCGACUGACUUCUCGUCGAAUAUAAAGGAAAUAAUAAAUAUGGCAGAGAAAAAGUUCCAGAACCUAAAUUCUCAUGACUGCCACGUGAUUAUGACGCAACUGCUUCCGGUUGCAUUGAGGGGGCUUCUACCGAAAAACGUCCGAUUAGCCAUUGUGAAGCUAUGUGCAUUCCUCAAAGCAAUCUCUCAGAAGGUGAUCGAUCCAGAAAUCAUACCAAGGCUAAGGAGUGAUGUGGUGAAAUGUCUUGUUAGUUUCGAGCUGGUGUUCCCACCAUCCUUCUUCAAUAUCAUGACGCACGUCCUAGUUCAUCUAGUUGACGAGAUUGUCAUUCUGGGCCCCGUAUUUCUACACAAUAUGUACCCCUUUGAGAGAUUCAUGGGAGUCCUAAAGAAAUAUGUCCAUAACCGCGCUAGGCCGUAAGGAAGCAUCUCCAUGGGCCAUCAAACAGAGGAUGUCAUUGGGUUUUGUGUUGACUUCAUUCCUGGCCUUAAGAAGAUAGGUCUCCCUGAAUCGCGGUAUGAGGGGAGACUGACUGGAAAAGGCACGCUUGGAGGGGACUCAAUAAUAUGCAGGGACGGAUAUUCUUGGUCUCAAGCACACUACACAGUACUAAUGAACUCUACCUUGGUGACCCCGUAUGUCGAUGAACACAAGAACAGUCUGCGCUCCAAACAACUGGAGCGGUGCGACGACUGGAUUACAAGUGAACACAUCAGGACUUUCAGUAGUUGGUUGGAAACACGUCUCAGAGGUGAGAACACUGUUUGUGCCGAGCUAUACUCGUUGUCCAAGGGACCAUCUUCGACUGUAUUGACUUACAAAGGAUACGAGAUAAAUGGGAAUACAUUUUACACGAUCACCCAAGAUCAAAAGAGCACCAACCAAAACAGCGGUGUCCGCUUUGAUGCAGCAACCGAGAGGGGAAUAUAGACAUAUUAUGGUUACAUAGUGGACAUAUGGGAACUUGACUACGGACAUGAUUUUAAGGUCCCUUUGUUUAAGUGCAAAUGGGUCAAUCUGUCAGGAGGCGGGGUACAGGUAGACCCACAGUACGGAAUGACAACAGUGGAUCUGAACAAUCUUGGGUACACUUACGAACAGUUCGUCCUAGCCAAUGAUGUGGCACAGGUUAUCUAUGUGAAGGACAUGUCUACCAAACAGAGAAAAAGAAGAGAUAAGGAAGCGAAUACAUCAUACGAUGAGCCAAAGCGCCACAUAGUUCUUUCAGGAAAAAGGGACAUCUUGGGAGUGGAGGGCAAGACAGACAUGUCCGAAGAUUAUGAAAAGUUUCAUGAAAUUCCUCCCUUCAAAGUCAAGGCUGACCCAAGCAUCCUGAUAAAUGAUGAAGAUUAACUUUGGUUACGGCGCAAUAAGGAAAGGACACAAGCGAAGAAAAAGUAAAGACUUUCUCCACAACUAUUAUGAUGAUACCAUGCCAACUUUCAACCUUUUCGUAGUUCAUUUGAAAUGCAUGUUGUAACAGACAAGUUUCCGUAUGAAAUCCUGAUACUUCGAAAGAGAUUGUCCAUUUUGUACACGAAGUGCAUCCAGUUUUUGCUGUAACCCUCUCAACUUUCUUGCAUAUGAUGUGGAUGAAAUGAUGAUACCAUGCCAAAUUGGAACCUUUUUAGAGUUUAUUUCAAAUGCUUUUCAAUUUCAUGGUCUUAUAGCUCAAAAUAAUCAGUAAAUGCAUGAAAAAUAACAAAUGAAGUCAGAAAGGGUUGUAAAUUGAUGAUGUGGCUUUGAAUGGUGCAUUUUGAACACCGAAAAACUAUGGAGUUCAAAUAAGUUCAAAAAUGGAAUCCCUUUGUAAGAGACGAGUUUCCGUAUGAAACCCUGAAACUUCGAAACACAUUGUCCGUUUUGUACACGAAGUGCAUCCAGUUUUUGCCAUAACCCUCUCAACUUUCUCGCACAUGCUAUGUGGGUGAAAUGAUGAUACCAUGCCAACUUGGAACCUUUUUAGAGUUUAUUUCAAAUGCUUUUCAAUUUCAUGGUCUUCUAGCUCAAAAUAAUCAGUAAAUGCAUGAAAAAUAACAAAUGAAGUCAGAAAGGGUUGUAAAUUGAUGAUGUGGCUUUGAAUGGUGCAUUUUGAACACAGAAAAACUAUGGAGUUCAAAUAAGUUCAAAAAAAAUGAAAUCCUUUUGUAAUAGACGAGUUUCCGUAUGAAACUCUGAUACUUCGAAACAGAUUGUCCGUUUUGUACACGAAGUGCAUCCAGUUUUUGCCGUAACCCUCUCUACUUUCUCGCACAUGCUAUGUGGGUGAAAUAAUGACACCAUGCCAACUUGAAACCUUUUCAGAGUUCAUUUCAAAUGCCUUUCAAUUUCAUGGUGGCUUUUAAAUUUCAUAGUGGCUUUUCAAAGAGUAAGAAGAUGUCAACGACAAACAAGAAAAAUGCUGCGAAGAAGAAGCAUCACCAUCGCACGGGGUCAGGUGGCUAACUCAAAGCCCGACCUUUGUGGGACAAGGCUGAGAAUGACCUGAUUGCUAAAGGGGUCGAACCAGAGACAUUGAACUGGCGAGACCAUUGCCGGACUUGGUUCUUCGGGGUUGGCGGAACCUUGGACCCUGUAUCAGGGAAGUGCGUUUGGACGGAAGAGCAACUAUGAAUACCGUCACGAGGCUUAAGGAGUAUAUCGAGAAAGCGCAGCAAGGGACGUUCUUUCCAGACAGAGAGAAGGACGAGCUCACAAUGGCCCUCGGGAAUCCUGAGCACCCUAGACGGACACGAGGUACGCCAGGCUCUGUUCCGUGGAAGGUUGGGUUUCCGGACACAGGGGGUUACAAAUGCCAGGAGAGGAGGAAGAAAGUGGAGCAUAGCCAACUGCACGCGCUGCACGAAAAGGGUACAAGGGCUAGAGGAACGAGAAGCAGAUCGCAGCAAACGACCUGCCGAAUCUUCCCUUGAAGCUACCCCGCCAUCUCAGCGGAGAAGCAGCGUGGCUUCCACCGAGCAGACUCGGCAGCUGGAGGCUGUCUUCAUGGUUCCUGCUAGCUACCCCGUGGAUGCUAUCACGGAGUCUCAACAUUGCCACCUUAUGGCGCGAUGGAUGACAUUGAAAGUCAAGGCGGCUGUUGGCUCUGUUUUACCUACUGAACCUGGCACAACCUACCACGGCCGGUCGAUUCCAGAAGGAUAUGCUAGGGUGAUGGUGGAUCAAAUAACGGACGGAUUUGAGGACCUUGAGCUUGACCACCCUACGGGUAAAGGGGAGAUUCGGCUGGGUUCUUCUCUGAAGACUUCAUGCCUAUGGCGGAAGGAGCUCAUCAACCUUCCGAACUGGACGCCUCCGCCUCCUCCUCCGGCAAGUGAUCAGGGCACUCAGCCUCCUUCUCCGGCGCGUAGCGGCACUCCGCCCCCUUCUCCGCCUGCGCCGGCGCGCCCGAGCAGCCAGCCUCCUCCUUCUCCGCCUCGUCAACAAGGGCGAAAGAGACCCGCCGCCGCUCCGGCUGCUCCGCCGCAUCGUCCUUAUCCUCCGCCUCGUAAGAAAGGAAAGUCAGCCGCAGCCUCUCCGUAUGCUCCGGCGUCUAGCAUACAUCCAGAGGCAGGCAAUACAGAUACAAUCCUUCUCUGAAGACUCCAGAGAAGUUACCAUACGAGAGGAGCGAGGAGGAAAACACGAAGAUCGUGCAAGCCGAAGUGAACAACUUCUUUGAAGGGGUGAAAGCAAAGAAACAUCCACCUCAGGAGGAGAAGAUAGAUCUGGUAAAAGCGAAGCGUACUUUGGCUGCCCAGAAGAAACCACCAAAGUCUCCGGUGAAAGCCAACUAUGAGCGCACUAUUACAAAGUCAUUUAUCGAAGCGGAGCGGUCGGGAAGUACUGUCAGUGGUCAAAGGUUAGCAGAACGACGAGCUGGGAAAAAAGUUGCCCAGCUCGGCGAACAAGCGAACCAAUCGUUCCCCCCGCUCAAGGUGUCUAGCGAUAUCGUCGCUAAUCAUUCGGGGAUCUUGCCCGGUACCAAUCCUGCAGAUUACCUGCCCGACGAUGCACAUUUCGAUUUCUUGGAGGUGGACGAACACAAAUAUGUGUACGGAAAGCCUCUCAUCAAAGAUGAAAGAUCUCUAACAAUGAUGAUGCGAAGAUUCCAUGAUUGGUACAUGAAAACCUGCACAGAGUCUGAGGGGAGUAAUAUUUUGACGCUGAGAGUUAGAGAGGCGCAUGACCUCGUUGGAAUUGAACUGUUGAAUGUUCCAUUUGAGGAGUUCUUCGUGUUUUUCAAUCUAAAGGCCCUCGAUAAAUUAAUGAUCACUUGCUACUGCUUGUAAGUAGUACUAUUUCUAUCAUUGAGUCUCUAUAUAUAGGUCAUCUCUUUCAUUAUUUUUAAUUAUCCUCACUAUAUUAUGCAGAUUGAAGAUCGCCGAAUUGAAGAAAAGACAAAUCGGUGAUAUUGGGUUCAUUAACACAAAUCUCAUAGAUGCAUUUAUGGUUGAAUUUCAGGCCAAAGAUACCGAGGCCAAGCUGCUACAAUCGUUUGUAUUGAAUCAAAACAAAGCUAUAAUAUUUUUCCCUUACGAAUUCCAGUGAGUAUUACUGUCUUGUGCAUAUUCGGUUUCCGUUAUUAGUCAAGGUUAUAGUAAUGUAAUUGAUGAGUUAUGCAUGCGUGCGCAGCUUCCACUAUAUUCUCCUAGAGAUUAAGCUUGAGUAGGGAAUAGUAACCGUCUUAGACUCGAGACGAAAAGAUCCCAAGGAGUAUGCGGACAUGACCGAAAUUCUAGAGAAGUAAGUUAAAUCGAUCAUUAUCGCACCAUAUCGGCAACUUUGUUCAUUUCCUGAUAUCAAGUAAUUGUUUUCUUUGUCUGGCGGGGUUUGGAAAAAAUUCACCUCAAAAACUACGGGACUGCCGAAGAAGCUGCAAUUUAGACACCCGAAAGUAAGUACUAUAGUAGCAUGUUCCUAGUGAUUCAAGCGCUAGUUUCAUCAAUACCAUUUAGCAUGCUUGCUAACUAUCAGUUUGAUUGACCUCUAUUUCUUGUAAAGUGGUUGUGGCUGGAACCAGGGAAUGAUUACUGUGGAUACUACAUUUGCGAGUCCAUCCGUCACACGACCUGUGAGCGGGGCUACUCUGACAAACAAUAUGAAGUGCGUAAAUAAUAAUAUUCACAAUUUUAUUUUAUUACCAUCAUUUGUGUUCAGUUUCAUUUAUUCAUAUAUAUGUAUUGACCCCCUUCUUCAAAUUAGAUAUUUCAGAUGCGGGAUGAACUCCUACCACCAGAUCGUAUGCGAGGAAUUCAAGAGGAAUUGGCGGCAUUCUUUCUUGACCACGUGAUCGCUAAAGACGGAGAAUACCAUGUGGACCCUAAUCAGUUGGUUUUUAUAAUUAGGAGAUUAUAUUGUAAGAGAUAAUUAUAUUAUAUAUAUGUAGCCAGUAGCGUCGGAUAGAUAUUCGAGAACUUGUUGUUCGACCAAUCUCUCAGAGAAGGAGAUGUGGUCGAUAUCACUUCUCUCCGUAUGCAUAUGUUCAUGACGAUCUUCUGUUUCCUUCAUUUACUUACUAGCUAGCGUGUCUAGUCCUCCCUAUACGUAUAGUACGUAGCGUCGACCAAGCACGGAGAUAAGAGAGGACAUUUCUCUCUAUUAAUUAGCUAGCUAACACAAUAUAUGAAACACCUAAAUUAACCCGCCAAAACCCCCAACCCCCCCCCCNNNNNNNNNNNNNNNAAAACCCCAGCACCUGAAAUGCUGACACGUGGAUGCCUAUUGGUCCCGGUUGAUGCCACCAACCGGGACCAAAGGGCCUCCUGCCUGGGUUCGCCGCACCGGCCACGUGGAGGCCCAUCUGUCCCGGUUCGUGUAAGAAUCGAGACUAAAGGCCAAGGGCAUUUGUAAUGACUUUUUUGUCCCGGUUCCAAAACCGGAACAGAAGGCCCUUACGAACCGGGACAAAAGGCCCUUUUUCUACUAGUGUCCCUCCGUUCCUAAAUGUAAGUCUUUCUAAAGAUUCCACUAGAGGAAUACACAAGGAACAAAAUGAGUGAAUCUAUACUUUAAAGUGUGUCUAUAUUACUAUAUAUAUCCGUAUGUAGUCUUCUAAUGAAACCUCUAAAAAGACCUAUAUUUAGGAAGGGAGGAAGUAGAUGACUAUCACUUCUCAUGCCAUUAGCAUUGGCUCUUGUGUGACCCGGGGAGCUCUCCAUUUCCCUUAGUUUUUUUUCAUCCUACACCUACCUCUUAAGCCUCUCAAGAUGGAAGAAAUUCCUAGCGCAAGUCAUUCGAAAACAACUACCCAAAGUGCAGCAUAUCACGCUUCUGCUUUUCCAAAUUAACUACCUGCAGAAAAAAAACCCCAGCAAACACAGGUCUGCCAGGCUUUUACUUUCCUGAAUUUGUUGUUGCUCGAUAAUAUUUUCUCAGAUAAGCAAAUAUAGGGGAGACAGAAGUGUGUGUUGCCAUAGUUUACGCUGAAAGCAAAAAAUGUUUGGCAAAAGAUCAACUGUAGAACCAUUGCAAAUAAAGAGCAAGCUCAGUAGCGCCUCUGCGUUUUAAGAAAGAAAUGCAGAGGAUCCACUUACCAUCCAGACGCUUGUAUAUAUUUGCCAUUCUCCUAAAAUGCUAAAAUCUAUAUACAUGUUUUUCCCGUUCUACUCACUGCCAUAAGCACUAGCUGCAAGGUCAAAAAUAUUCUACGAAUUUGUUUCUCCUCUGAACCUUUGACCGUAUAAAGUCAGAGCAGAAGAGUAAAAAAUGAAUAAUGCUAGUCUGCUCUAGGGUUCAACCAUCCACAGAAAGGCACCAAUUUACGUUGAGAUUCUUGUAAGCUUGGUGAAACAGCAUAAACCAAACAGCAGGAUUUAUGUUGUCGUUGUCAGCCUGAUUUCUUGGCUGUCAACCUUCAGUUCAUCUUCCUUAACAGUAGACUGAACAUCAUCUGGGAUGCAAAUAUCAAGGUCAAUCACUUUGUUAGCCCUUGAAGAGAAAAAGAAGUUAUCACUGUAGUUCCUAAGAAAGAAAAAAAUUAUGGACACCUUGACAUGGCAGACAACAAAAUAUUUUGGCAUGUGCAUAUCACUGUAGUAACUGUGGCAUUGACAUUGCAUUAUUCACGGGAGUACAGAGGUAAAAAUGAUCAAGACGUUUUUAAAAAAAUGAAGCUUCUUAUUUUGUAUUAUAUUUUUCAUCUCAUAUACAGGCAAACAAGUCCAAUCAUUCAUAUCCCACUUUGAGCUGAUCUACACAAAUUUCACUCAUCAUAUUUUUUUCUUCAUAAAAUGAGGAUUCAAAAGUCAUCCAAGGUAUGAUUAGAAAGACUAAUCAGAUAGGAUGAGUCUUGGUUUACCUGAGGCUCCUGUCAUUGGGUCAUCAACUCCUUUCAGGAUGUUAGGCUCUGUCUUUGGUUGCUCAGACUGUUCUGGGUUAUCUAGAUUUUCACAGCCAAAGAAUUAGCUCAGGAUAACUGUUAAGCGCAUCAACCAAAUAACAAUAAAAUCACAUAUUACCUGAUGGUUCCUUACAAAUAUGUUGGUUGCUAUUAGCAGCAUUUGAGUGUUCUUUGUAGCCUGACAAAAUAUCACCAUUAAUUGUUCAUUAAAAAGCCAUUUACUCAUUAAGGGAAUGAGCAAGCAUACAGGGCCUAAGGUGAUACCUGAUGUUAUAUCAGUCUCACCCAUGGCAGCUGGAGAACCACGCGGAGAUUGGCCUGCCAAAAUAAGAUCCAAAAUCAUGACAGAUGAAUUGAACUCUUCUCCAUAUUAGAGGUAGCUUUCAUUCAAAUUUUUAAUUGCAUAAAACUUAGAUUAACCUAGUGAUUCCUUCAUAACUACAUCUACAAGAAUAGUAUUCGGUUUUUCAGGUAAUCAAGUGCUGAGCAUUAACAUGAAGUUUCCUGAGUCAUGCAUAACAGACAGGGUUGACAAGUUUCUGAACUUGUCCUGGGGAAAGACAGAUUAGGAUUUCAGGUCAAUGUGGUUUUGAUCUGAACUUCAGCAUACCUGAUGAGUCCUUGCUUCCACUUGAAGAUUCAGAAUCACUGUUAAACUCAGGGACAGAUUUUCCUUCAACAUGCACAUCUUGAUCCACGUGUCUGCAUGAUACUAAUACAGGUUGAGCGGAUUUAACUGGCACCACAGUAGCUGAUGGUUCUUGGCUCAAAGAUCCAGUGUCUUGCUUAGGCAAAGGCCUUGAUACAUUCCCAGAUAUAAUCGAAACAGGUGCUGCUGCAACAACCCCAGAGCCAACGUAAGGUCUUGGAGCGGGAGGAGGGAUGAUGAACUUAAGAGUAGAUGUCUCCACAGGCCUCCUCAUCUGAAGAGGCUUUGCAAUUGUAACAUUCUCCAAGUGGACUGGUAAGGGAGGAGCAGCUUGUCUGUGGAUUGCAGAUGCUUUCUUCUGAAGUUGACUUGGCUGGAGCAUGGGGAGGUCAGGGGCAAGAUCAUCCUUCGGUGUUAUUGGGCGUAGGUUAGUUUCAUCUGGGAUCCAACCUCUGAGCACCUGAUUGUCCUUCACUCUCACCGUGAUAAGAGAAAACCCAGGACAUUGCUUGGUCAUCUUUCCAACAAAAUGCUUGCCAACGAUAACAUCCUUGCCUACAUUGCCUCGCACAUGAGCACUGCUACUGUUGGAGGCUUGAUUUUCACGAAAUUUGACUGUAGUACCAGAAUCUACAGGUCGGCUGGGCCUAUAACCCUGAGUCUGCUGUGCAGGCAGCACAUGAACUGUAUGCAUUUUAGUGUCAAGAGUACCACCUAACGGGUGGUUAAUGUGCACCCCAUCAUGUCGGAUAUUUGGGUUAUACAAUGCGCUGCGAAGAGGUGGAAUGCUCUGAACGGGCUGUGCCAUGUGAGGUUGUUCAUAUGUAGAAUACUCGUACUUCCUUGGGCGACCACGCUUACGCUUUGUGCCAGAGCUUGCGGGUGGCUCAAUGGGCAGCGGUUCAUUAGGCGCAGCAGCUUUAUUCCCUUCUGAUGUCAUCUCUACUGGCUUGCUUCAACCUUUUGCAGCUACAACUGCACCCAAGAGUGCUGGGACUACCCUGUUGGUUUGAAUUUAUCUUGAAUCAGAACAACAGUUUUUCUUUACAAAGGAGGCAAGAACUGUGCCAAUAACUGAAUGGAAAAAAAGGCAGUUUUCUCAUGACACUGUUUUCAGAAGCCACAUGGCUACAGUUUGCAAUCAAUGAUUUAAACUGCAUCUUGACAAUACAAGUGUACACAAGCCAGUCAAUUGGAUGCUGCUACAAACUUACAAGCCAUAUUUUUCCAUAAAAGAAACCUAAUAUAUCCCACAUUAAAAAAAAAAUACUUUCCUUGCGCAAGACCUCACCGAGUGGCUUGAAGCCUACGCACACAUCUUAAAUUCUAAACAGUGAGCUCCUAGAACAUACGUACAUGUCCUGGACAUAAAACGCUUGAUGCUGACAUCUAACUUGCCAAUUCGUAUCGAAAUCCCAUCCGACACGACCAGAGCCUUAGAAAAAAAAUCGAACCAAUAUCCCGGUCAAUCUAGAAAAUCAUUCCCAUCCCAUCCCAUCUCGUCCCACCAUGUGGCACGGCCCAACGCAUCAUGGGGGCAGAGCAAUACGGAGCAAAACAGAGGAACGCCGAGCCAAUCCGAGAGUCUCGGAGAACCGAUCGAACGACCUCGGAAAAAUAAAACCGGAACAAGCAAGCAAACAAGCGACGCAGUUGGGCGAGGCGCAGGCUUAUACAGAUGGGAGUGCGCGAUUACCCCUGAAAUCUUGUCCUCUCCGCGCGCGCGCCGUCGCCUCUGGGAGGAGAGAUGAUCGCGACGAGUCCGCUGGCGGGGGAGGAGGCGGAGGAAGGGAAGCUGCGGAUGGGGGGCGGAGGAGCUCGGGGGCUAGGGUUCUCGUCGNCUGCCGUUGUCCGGCCCGCGGACGUGGGUGGAUACCACAUGGGCCGACUGUUCUCUGCAGGCCAUAAUUAAGGAGGGCCAUCUNNNNNNNNNNNNNNNNNNNUUUUUUGCUUUCAGUUGGUUCCUAAAAUCUGCUGAACUAUUAUUUUUUAUACUACUAUGAAAAUGAUUAUUUGGGUGUUUGGUUGUCUUUUUUGUUUUAGGGGAACGUUGUUGUUUUAUUCAAAGUUCAUGAAUGAUCUCCGAGCUAACACACUCGGGAGACAAGCGGACCCAGGGGUUUACACAACGACUAAGUACACCCCUCCUAGCUAGGACAUGUGCGACUUUAUUAGCUAAUCAUCGUACCAAAGCAACCCUAAACUCAAAAAAAUAGUGAAGUAACUCUUUAACCUCGUCGACUAGCUGCCUAUUUGUAGAGAAAUACCUUUGUCUGUUUCUAAUCUUGCUUACCGGUACUUGGGAGUUUGUCUCAAGAAUAACCUUGUAGAUGUUAAGUUGUUUCGCAAAAAUAAGGGCCCACCGACACGCCAACAACACCGCCACCUCAGUAUCAUGAACGGAAGGGGAAAAAUGGCAUGCGCCUACAAGGAACUUGCCAUGGUCAUCCCUAUGGACACCCCCUCCCCUCCCGAUUUUUUAUGUUUUGCCAUAGCACUGCCAACAUUAGCUUUGAUCCAUCCUUCAGCUGCCUUUUUUCAUUGCUCCAAGGUCUUCCUUUCUCUCUGUUGAGCUAUUCUAUCAUGCACACACUUCCAUUCAACAGCAAGUUGAAGCACUCAUUCACAUAAACUUCACGGGUCUUCCAUUCUGCAAAAGUUGCCGUCAUUUCAAUAAUGUCUAUAAAUAGGCCAUGUUCAACGAAGGAUGUCUACGAAGGCCAAAAGACUCUGUGUGAGAUCAUGUUAUUUCUCGACAUUCAUGAAAUUAUUCCAAUUUUUUCAUGCCUUCUUUGACCAAUUCAAGUCACCAUACGAAGUUGUUUGUGUUUUCCAUAACUUUUACAUUUUCUUUAUUUUUCUCGUUGAAAAAAGGCUGAUACAUGGUCGGACGUGUGAGAACAUGCAUACGGUGUCGGAAGUCAUUCAAACCUAGCAUAUGAAUGCCUACCAUGGGCAUCCCAUCUGGUGGAAAAACUUGGAGGUCAUUUCAAGGAUUUCCUAGAAACACACUGCUCAACAACGAGGUUGUUCGGGUAGGCUAGAAUGCACAAUUUGAGGGCAUAUUUUCUAGCAUCUGUUAAAUGAUCCCAAUUUUUUACAUUGCCUUGUACCAAUUCAAGUCACCAGGUUGAUACUUGUGAUCUGCAUUGGGUUUUCCGUGAAGAGGAACGGGUGAUGAAGCACAAUAUAGGUAAGUAUUUUCCUUAGUAGAAAACCAAGGUUUAUCGAACCAAUAGGAGUAACUGUCAACCCCUGUCUUCAGCAAAUACACACAAGAGGAAACAACUUGCACCCAACGCAUGCAGGAGGGUUGUCAAUCCCCUUGGACUCGUUAUUUUAAAGCUUUAAGUAGUGUGGUUGGUUGUAGAUAAUUAUAAGUUACAAAAUAAAAUAAAAGGUAAAUAAGAACAACGAGGUAUUGUAGGUUUGUAAACUUAUAAAUGAAUAGACCCGGGGGCCAUAGUUUUCUCUAGUGGCAUCUCUCAUGAAAGUAACCAUACGAUAGUAAACAAAUUAAUGUUGACCAAUUGAUAGAAAAGCGCAUAGUUAGGUCCUAUUCACGAUAAUGAUCAUGUGUAUGUAGGCAUCACGUUCAUAAGAAAAUAGGUUGACUCCUGCCUGCACGUAUUAUUAUUACUCCACCCAUCGACCACUAUUCAUCAUGAAUCUAGAGUAUUAAGUAAAACAGAGUAAUGCAUGGAGAAUGAUGACAUGAUGUAGACAAAGAGAAUUCAAUUAAUAUGAACUAACCCCAUUGUUUUAUCCUUAGUGACAACAAUACAAAUACGUAUCUUGUCCCUUUCUAUCACUGAGAUAUAGAAAUCUGUCAGAUUGAACCCACUACAUCGCACCCCUCCCACUGAAGAAAGAUCAAUCUACUUCACCAAAGCAAAUCAAUAGAUCGGAGAGAUUUACGAAGCUGUGAUGAUGAUGCACAUAAGAAUCAUUUUUAGAAUUCAAAGGAGACACCAAUAUUUAUCAUGAAUAAUCUGAACAUAAACCCACAAUUCAUCGGAUCCCAACAAACACACCGCACAAAAGAAUUACAUCGGAUAGAUCAAAGCGAAGAUGUGAUGAUCGUUAUAUUGAAGAUCAAGAGAGAGAUAGACAUCUAGGUACUAACUACGUACCCGUAAGUGUGUGGUGAACUACUCACACAUCACCAUGGGAGCAACAAUGAUGAUGUAGAGUACCUCCGUGAUCGAUCCCCCCUCCGGCAGGCCAUCGAAACAGGGCUCCAAAUGGUCACACGAUGGAACAGAGACUUGUGGCGACGUAAAAAGUGUUCCGGGUGGCUCUCUAGGGUUUUUGGGGUAUAUGUAAAUUUAUAGGACGAAGAGGUACGUAAGGAGGCAGAUGAGGGUAGCAUGAGGCAACAGGGCGCGCCCUAGCCCCUGGUCGUGCCCUGUUGGCUCGUGCCUCCCUCGUGAGGCCUCUGGCCUCCUCCCGAAGCUUCCAAGUCUUUUUUGGUCCACAAAAAAUCAUCAUUUUGUUUAUAAAAAUUGGACUUCGUCUGGUACUGUAACUUGAAAAGCAAAAACAUGCAGAAAAAAGCAACUCACACUCGACAAUGGUGUCACGCCCAAGAUGCGACCCUAUCCUCAAUUUGGCACGAGGGCCUCGUCAGGGAUAGAAGCGCAUCUCGUCGUGUCGCAAGAAUGGAUAUCGUCACAAGUACAUGUACUGAAAAGAAGAGAUAUAUAUAAAGAAUUGGCUUACACUCGCCACAUGCUACAUCAGAGUUACAUCAGUACAUUACAUAAUCAUGAAGAGUAAGAGCAGGGUCCGACUACGGACGAAAAUAAACGACAAAAGAAGAACGACGUCCAUCCUUGCUAUCCCAGGCUGCCGGCCUCGAACCCAUCCUAGAUCGAAGAAGAAGGAGAAGAAGAAUCAACUCCAAAUGUACAAUCAACGCGCUCGCGUCAAGUAACCUUUACAUGUACCUGCAACUGGUGUUGUAGUAAUCUGUGAGCCACACGGGACUCAGCAAUCUCAUUUCCAAAGGUAUCAAGACUAGCAAAGCUUAAUGGGUGAGGUAUGGUUAAGUGGUGAGGUUGCAGCAGCGACUAAGCAUAUAUUAGGUGGCUACACUUACGAGUACUAGAAAUAAGAGGGGGGAGAUCUACGCAUAGCAGACGUGAACUACUGUUGAUCAAAUAAAUGAUCCUGAACACCUACCUAUGUCAGACGUAACCCCACCGUGUCCUCGAUCGGAGAAGGAACUCACGAAAGAGACAGUCACGGUUACGCACACAGUUGGCAAGUUUUAAUUAAGUUAACUUCAAGUUAUCUAGAACCAGUGUUAAACAAAGUUUUCACGUUGCCACAUAACCACGGGCACGGUUUUCCGAAAGAUUUAACCCUGCAGGGGUGCUCCAACUAGCCCAUCACAAAUUACCACAAGCCGCAUAGAAAUCCUCAAUCACGAAGCUCGCGAUCUUGUCGGAUUCCCUAGUGGAAAACCUCAACUCUGAGAUUACCCAAAGCAUCACCGGAAUCCCGAUGCACAAGAUAUUCCGUCACAGGUAAAACUAAUCCAGCAAGGCCGCCCGACGUGUCGACGAUCCCGAUAGGAGUCGCGUACCUCGUUCUCAGGACACGACGGAUGAGCUAGACGUCGGGAUCGCUAAACCUCCGGGUGACCUGAGGGGCGCCCGACAUCGCUCAGGUGGGGCCAACACUCAUGAGGAGCACUGGCCCGGGGGUUGAUUAAAUUAUCCUCGGGGUCCGGAAAGUCUCUAUGCAAUUUUAUUAGGUGUUUAGGCAAAUGUAGUACCAAAGUUGGGCCUUGCCAGACCAGCUUUAAUCUAAAACGAAUUAUCAAGGGGUCCCCAUAACAACCCCGAUCGUGUUAGGAGCACUCAAUUAUGGAACAUAACAACGGUAGCCGGAAACUAAGGGGGCAAAGGUGGAACAAGACACCAGGCUAGAAAGGCCGAGCCUUCCACCUUUUACCAAGUAUAUAGGUGCAUUAAAUUAAAUAGCAUUUAAAUAUGGUGAUAUAACAAGGAACCCAUGUUCUCACAUGAAAGCCACUGCACGUGCAACUAGCAACGCUAUCAACAAGGUUAAGCAAGCAGGAACAUAGCCAAUCAGUGGUUUGCUAGGUCGAACAGGUUGAAGGUUAUCAUGGCAUUGUUGAUAGGCUGAUAUUUAACAUGUGAGGCAACGAGACAUAAUCGAUAGCAUCGAAAUAACUAGCAUGGCAAUGAUAGUAAUGGUAUCUAGGGAAAUGGUCAUCUUGCUUGAGAUCCCGCUUGGAAGAAGAAUGACUCCGUGAAGCAGACGAACCGACGUAGUCGAACGGGUCCUCACAUCCGACACGCUUGCGGAACUCUAUCGAGACGGGGAAAACCGGAACAAGCAUCAACACACGAUAUUCACAACACGAUGCACAACACACAUGAUGCAUGGACAGGCUGAAUGCAAACAAGUCACGGCAAGACAAUUCACGACAAACAAACAGUACACAUUAAGUGAAGUUUAAUAUGCAACGAGUUGCAUAUUAACGAAACUCCACGUUUAUUAUUCAGUUCUAUCCCGAUUAGAUAGUCGGCAAUAUUAAAUGUGAUUAAACAUGGCAAGAGGUGAGACGUAAUUAAACUACUUAUCUAGGCAUUUUAAAUGAGGUCGGAAAUGACAUAUAGCACCUCCGAAACGACCUCACAUGUUAAUUUACAGUUCUGUCCAGAUCUGAACUAAUGCAUUUAAUUAGUUGUUAAACAGCAAAACAAAUAGGUUCACGUGAUUCUACGCGUCGAGACAAGCAAACUAGACAUAAAGAACAUCUCCAACGGAGCUACGGUUCAAAAGAUACAAGCACCGCAAGAUAUGAUGGCAUGAAUGCAAUAUGUGUGCAACGACGGUCACGAGCACUUAAAAACAUACAACCAAUAAGAGAAAAUGAAACUACACGAGAUUCUAAGCAAGUUUCAUGUAGGACACGAUCAAAUCGGAGCUACGGAUCGACAACUACGAGCAAAACAAGAAAUGACUACAAUCUGCCAAAAUCAGCCACAUAGCAUUUUCUACACCCCACAACUACGGACUACACAACUCCGAUAUAAUCAACCAAGGCAUGACACGAAAGAGGGUAAGAAGCACUACAACAAACAACUAACAACAACUAGCAUGGCAUCAUGGAUCACUAGAGAAAGAAGUCACAAAAUGGCAUCCCACACACUAUUUCAGACUUAGUGAAAAUUACACCUCAUGGAAGUGCGGUUUUCGAUCUGAAGCUAUAUUGACAACAGAAAAAACUAUAGCUACAGGACUCCAAAUGGCAUGAAAAUUCACAGCAUGCUAGAGAAACACUAGGGGUACAACUAACUCUAUUGGACCAACCUCAAAAGAGCUACAGAUCACAAGAUGCAAGCAAGAUAAGACAGCAACAAAAAUAAUAACAGAUCCCAGACUUAGAAAUAUUUCAGCAUGUCCAAAACAGCACUAUUUCUAGCAACUUGAGGGCAAUCAAAACACACCUAAACAUGCAUUUCUAUUUCAUCUAAAAAUACCAGGGGCUACUCUAAACACCCAGGAACAAUUCCCUAGUUGACAACUUAAGCAAACGGAGCACGGAAUAAAUCCUACGAAUUAAACAAAAGGGCAUCACGGUGAAAUAUCGCGCGAACUAACUUACUCAAAAGCUAAAACUAAUUGCACAGAAAAAUCCCAUGGAUUUUUCUACCCCGAAAACAUAUAAAAUAUGUGGGGUUGCAACACAAAAUAAAGCCACACAUAAAUACGAGAAAAUAACCUAUACGCGGAAAAAUAAAUUAGCGGCAAUUCCCUACACGCAAAAAUACAAAUGACCGCUCUAAAAUGCAUGGAAAAAAUGGUCCCUAAAACAUAGGCAUUUUAUCUAAGGUACUCGAGCAAUCCGGACCACAAGAAAAAAUAAUUACGGGACGCAUCCUAUUAAAACAGCACGCUAAACGACGUCAAACAUUUAUGCAAGUUGGAUAGUCGUAUUCUACGCGAAAUUCUACGCCAAAAUCAUAUACAAUACAUCGCGAUCCGAUACACGGUUAAUUAACUACGGCCGUUUUAAUAUCUAUAUAAAUCCUGGAAUAACUAAUUCGAGAACUCUGAAAUAAAAACCUAUUGGGCCGAAUUCUACAAGACUUGGGUCUACUCACAACGAGCGCAUAAUAGUAAAUCUACGCUGGGGGCGCAACAAAGGGGGGCCAGGGCACUCUCACCUUCGGGCCUGGGGAGAGGAGACCUCUUGGGCCGGCGGUUGCAGGGAGGCCGAAGGUGGCCUGGCUCGGGGAAGGCCAUCGGGCCUGCUGGAGGGCGAGCUGGGCCGGAUCUCGGGCUGGCCAGCUCGGGAUCCCGNNNNNNNNNNNNNNNNNNNNNNNNNNNNNNNNNNNNNNNNNNNNNNNNNNNNNNNNNNNNNNNNNNNNNNNNNNNNNNNNNNNNNNNNNNNNNNNNNNNNNNNNNNNNNNNNNNNNNNNNNNNNNNNNNNNNNNNNNNNNNNNNNNNNNNNNNNNNNNNNNNNNNNNNNNNNNNNNNNNNNNNNNNNNNNNNNNNNNNNNNNNNNNNNNNNNNNNNNNNNNNGCCCGGGGGCCAGCCGUGGGCUCGCGGGCCCGACGGCGCGAGGAGGAUGUGGGAGGAGGCUGCGGGAAGAUUAGGGUUUCAGGGGCGCGGAUCUCGAGGGGAUUAGGUUUUGCUUUCUAAAAAAGGCACAGGGGGCUAUUUAUAGGCAAAAGGGGGGCUAGGUUAACCGAAAUCGCGUUCCGGAUCCAACCGUAGGGUCGGAUUCGAACGAUUCUGCACGCGGGAACGGGUACGCGGCCGUGUAGAGGGGAUAUCCGGAGACGAGAGGGAGAACGGGCGGCACGACAACGGUUUUUAAAACACCGACAGACAUCCGACGAAUAACCGAAGACGGUGCCGCUACGGUCGACCGUUCGGGUACCAGACGGACUCCGAUCGCGACGAAAUUCGACAGGCGUCCUAGCUAUAUUAAAAUAAGACCGCAUGUCAAAUCUCAACCCGAUUAGAGAAAGUUUUACGCACACUUUUAAAACAGGGUUUCGAUGGUGCCGCGGGCGCGUGCGAGUGCGGUCGGACUCAGAGCGGACAACGACGAGAACCGGCAACUACUAACGAAUGCAAGUUUGAAAACUGACGGCAACGAGAUGCCGGUGUAAUGCAGAUGAUGCGCAUGAUGCGAUGAUGAUGCGACAAAAAGAAAUAGACACACGACGAAAACGGAAUAGAAGGGAAUCUUCUGGAACGUCGGCAUCGGGCUGUCACAAAUGGUUAAUAGGUUAGUGCUCAAAAAUCAUAUUAAGUGGUAAAUAAAUUCCAAAAACGUAUCCUAUAAUAACAAUAUAAUAGCAUGGAACAAUAAAAUUUAUAAAUACGUUGGAGACGUAUCAGCAUUCCCAAGCUUAUUCCUGUUCGUCCUCGAGUAGGUAAAUGAUAAAAAAAUGAUGUGACAUGCUACCCAACAUGUAAUCUAUUGCAGGUUCAAUUACCUAAAUGUUCUCGGAGUUUAUCUCGAUUUUACUGCAUCCUACUGUUCGAACAAGAUUCAUGCCAAACCGAAUAGCAAUUACCUCGGCUGUAAACGAAUCAAAGCAUAUGUCAAUUUUUUCAUUUGCAGUCACUAUGAACCGACCAUUGUGGUCCCUAAUCACAGUUCCAACCGAACCCUACAGUGUAUCCAUAUCAUAUGCAGCAUCAACAUUCAGUUUUACAUACCCGGUUCUAGGCUUCAUCCAUGCUGCCAAUUUCUGCUUGGUUUUGGGUGCACAUGAAAUAAUAUAGUUCGCCGACAAUGCUCUCACGGCCAGGUUUAUUUGAGCAGCGCUUUGGAUAGAUUCGCCAUGAGUUAAUUUUCGUCUUUCGUACCACAAGUACCACGCUGCUGUUGCCACUGCUUCUCUCAACUUUGGCAAGCCUAGAAUAUGAAUAUCAUGAUCUUUUAAGCACAACAAGUGUUCUAGAGUAGCCUCACCGGCCCUGUCCACCAAGCAUGCCUUUUGAAUGAUGUCCUCCAUACCUAAUAAUUUCCACACAUUGGCAGCAAACUUGCACUCAAACAGUAAGUGCUUGACAUUGUCAGGACCUUUUAUUUGGGAAGUAUUUUUGCUUUGAGAAUCCUUGCACACAAAGAAUCCGGAUUAUCAGUGAGCCUCCGAGCCUGUUUUGCCAAUAAAGCCAAAUUAAAGCAGUGAAUGUCUCUAAAUCCCAUUCCAUCUUGCUUUUUUGGAAUACACAUCUUUCACCAUGCGAACCACUGCAUCCUCUUGUGAGUCGCAUCAUCAUCCCACCAAAAAUGAGAUAUCGCAUCCGUGAUUCCUUUGCAAAUUUUUUUGGAAAUUUUAAAGACGGAUAUCGCGUAAGUUGGUAUUGCUUGUGCUACUGACUUAAUAAGGAUCUCUUUUCCUCCUGACGACAUGCAUUUUUCCUUCCAUUCACUAAGUCUCAGGACUAGCCGGUCAAUCAAAUAUUGAAAACUGUCACUUUUUUCAAGCCCAAGAGUAGCUGGCAGUCCUAGAUAUUUGUCAUUCAAAGCUUCAGUCAUUAUAUUCAGAGUAGAGCAAACCUCAGCCUUGAUAUCCACUCAUGUACUAGGGCUAAAAAAGAUACUAGACCUGUCCACACUCACAAGUUGUCCAGAGGCCGCACAAUAUGUGUCCAAGAUAGAUCUCAAGCAGACGGCAUUCUGAUUAUUGGCCUUCAUCAAUAUCAAUGAAUCGUCAGCAAAAAGUAAAUUUUAGUGCAAAAUUGUGUGCAAGUUUAUUUUAACUUUUAUCAUUAUCUUUCUUCUUAAAGUGUAAUACAAAUGCCACUAAUUCUUUGUUUCUUAUAAACUUUCAUUAUUUUGAUUUUGGUUUAGAUAUUAUUUCAUAUUUUCCUCUUUAAGCGAAAUACCAAUGCAACUAAUUUAUUUCUUCUGAGGAUUAUGUUUUGCAAAGAUUCCACUGUUAUAGGCUUAUUCUUGCAUAUUUAUGAGAAGAGUAAAUUUGGUGUAUGUUUGUGCGCAAAUUAUGUCAAGAUAAAUUAGAACUUUGUUUUUCUUUACUCUCCUUUUUUCCCCCCCCCCCCCCCCUUAAAGGGUAUUACAAAAUCAACUAAUUUAUUUCUCUCUUAGAAAAUCUCACUACUUCGAUUUUGUUUAGUUUUUAUAUUAAUUUAUUCUUCUAAAUAGGUAAUACCUAAGUCACUAAUUAACACCUUCUUACGAAAUGUUAUAUAUUUAUUUGAAAGUUCCACUAUUAUGUGCUUAAUUUUGCGUAUUAUUAAAAGCGCAUUUUGGUGUAAAAUAUGUGCAUAUUUUUUGUUAUUUUUCUUUCACUUCCUUUGUUCUUAAAGAGAAAUACCAAUGCCACUAAUUCAUUAUUUCUCAUAAUACUUUANNNNNNNNNNNNNNUUUUUUUAUUUUCUUUCUUCUUUAAGGGUAAUUCCAAUGCCACUAAUUCACUCCUUCUUACGAAAGUUCUUUUGUAUGAAUAUUUUCACUAUUACAUGGUUAUUUUUGGAUAUACACAAAGCACAAUUUUGUGUAAAUUGUUUGCCAAUGUUGUCAUUGUUUUUUUUAGGAUUUUCUUCAUUUUCUUUUUUCUUAAAGGAUAGUACCAAUGCCACAAAUUAAUUUUUAGAAAACUUUGUUAUUUCGACUUUAUUUUUAUUUUUUUGAAAGUAAAUAUUUGUUUUAUGUACUUUUUUGUUUAGGGGUAUUACCAAUGUCACUAAUUCAUUCCUUCUUAGAAAACUUCCUUUUUGUAAAAACUUCUUUGUGCUGUGAAAAUGGACCAUGUUGCGGUCACCUCUAGCAAUGAUGAUGACAUCAUGGAGCAGGAAUUCCGUCGCAACUCCAACUCUUGCAAUAGUACACAUGUUGCAGCACCAACAACGACCCCUCCCCCCUCCCCCGCUCUUUUACAGAAUCCAUCUAUCGACACCCUCAACGCUCUCACAUUGUCACCCCUCGAAACCAUUGUCCUCAACGUACUAGUGUCACCACUCUCAUAGCUCCGACCAUGUCCGCUUAAAGCACAACCAUGCCACCCUCGCAGGUCUCACCUGGAUGCUUGCAGUAACAGUUGAUGUGAUGAUGUCCCUUACUCCCUUAUGCCACCCCUUCCAUCCCCGGGCAUUGCUGUUUGCAACAAUAAGCUUUGCCAUCAAAAGCGAGUGUUUGUUGCAUCCAACGAAGUGUGUGUGGCCAUGAAGGUCGACAGGUAUUCAAUCUGGCUCCGAAAAUAUAUGCGUUGGCAUGCCAAAAAUACUUCUACAACAGUUUUUUUAAAUGUGUAUGUACAUUUUCAUUAGAUGCGUGUGUACAUGUUCAUGUUCUUCUUUUUUGAACACAAUACAAACGCAAGCGUUCAUAUACACGUGCAUGCAUCCACCCCUAUGAACGCACACAACCACACUCUCUAUCAUUAUGAGCACCUCUGAGAGACUGAGGCACAUAUCAUCUUGAGAUUUACGAAUGCAAGCACGAAGACUUGAACCCUGAUGGGUUGGGGAUAUCACUAUCUCUCUAACCAUCCAACUACACGGGUUGGUUUACGUUUAGGUUCUUUUGUUGUGUUCAAUUUUCUAUGGAGAAACGACAAAUAUUGCGAAAUUAGGUUAAAAUGGCAGGUUAUUUCCAUUUGGAUGAUUUUGGCCAGGAAAUAGGUUUUGGCACAAGGGUUUCUGAAUAUGGUUAUUAUUUUGUUUCAACACCCAAAGGGUCCACGGAGGAAUGCAAUAGUUUGCAUGCAAAUUUCAUAAGAAGGCAAACAUAAACCUUGCACUUUCCAAGUUUACUGUAAACAAAUACCAACGUUUUAGCACAUCAAUCUUCAGACAUUUUUGGCUUACAAACGGUUCAGGCACUUUGCUUACAGACGUUAUUAUUUUGUUUCAACACCCAAAGGGUCCACGGAGGAAUGCAAUAGUUUGCAUGCAAAUUUCAUAAGAAGGCAAACAUAAAUCUUGCACUUUUCAAGUUUUUGUAAACAAAUACCAACGAUUUAGCACAUCAAUCUUCAGACGUUUUGGCUUACAAACGAUUGAGGCACUUUGCUAUGGUUCAGAAUUUUCUUUAUGCAUGCAGAAAACAAACCCAACAUAUAUUUCGUACGAGCUCUUUUGAAUCUCUUCCUUUGAUCAACUUGUUCCUCUUCAUCAUGACCCCCGUCCGAUAAUGGCAGUGGUCGGCAUCUUGUCAUGAAGUGCUCAUUGGUCUCGAGGAUGGCUGCCAACACUUGUUUUGACGACAUAGAUUCCACGCACGAAUCCUUGAGUCGAUUGCAGUGGUGCUGAUUCGCCAGCGCGUAGGUGCUCAUAACGGUCGCUGCAUCCAUAGUUUUGCACAGCUCAUCUGCACACAUGAGCUUGAGCCUCUCCAGAUCGUACAUGUCUGCCGCGACGCCGUAGCCUCCUUGGUCAUCGGCGUCGGAGGGCGGCGGCAGCGAGUCUGUAUAGAUGUAGUGCAGCAUCAUCUCGAAGAUGGCCGGCUCCACGUCGAUGACCUUGACGCGCGGCUUGUCCUUCCUCGCCAUGGGGCCAUAGAAUUGAGCUCUGAAGACCGGCGACCGCGCGGCCAGAAAACACCUGUGGCCGCGGAACUUGCGUCUGCCCACGCGGAACGUGACGUCGGCGCCUGUCCCGUCGUCGAGCAUGCUCUCGAGUUGGCUGAAGAGUUGGCUGGGCAGCUCCGGAGGCGGUGGUGGCCCGUCGGUGACCACGGCGAGGACACACCGUAUCGUGAAGCAGCCGUCCCCGAGUUGCGACAGCUCUUCCAGCUUGGACCUUUCCACAAAGUCGCGGCAGCCCCAUUCCUGGUAAUCUAACGGCGAGAAGAGGAGCUUCGCGGGACCGCAGCUGUCUAGGUUUACCUGGCUCCUUUUAUCUAGGAUGCUCAGCGUGAACUUGGCGAUCACCUCCGGAUCGGGAUUGGGAUCCAUGCCUUCUUGGCUGUACCAGCGCACAAACGCUGAGGCGUGGCCGUCACAGUCCUCGUCGACCCCGUCUGGGUAGAAUUUGAUCUUCCACUUGGACCCGCCGACUUCGACGUCGGGCCAACUAACGUACUCGCCGACACCCAUGCCAGCCAGCCGCAGGUAAUCGGUCACCUCGAAAUUGAACGUCCCGGUUUGCUCCCAGGCCGUGACACGUCUCCACGUGAUCUCCGGAGUGGUCGACCUGCUGUCAGCCAUGGCCGGCGGCGGUGGAGGACAAGAACAAGACCGGGGAGUUGAUUUGCACCCGCGUACGUACCGUACGUACCUAGACGCCUUAUCCUAUAUAUAUUGUAAGGAGGGAUUCGAAGAAAAGAGUGAAUCAAGUAGUAGUCCCGAUGGAGAGCAGGAUUUGCACGCGUAUGUAUACGUGCGCAUCCGACCUUGGAGAGGAAUCGAAGAAACAAAGAGUUUUUAUCUGCUACACGUGGGCCCGGGCGCUCGAUUUCGAGGUUAUCCACUUUUUUUUAUAGAGUACAAUCGAAGUCGUUCACAUACACGACCAUACAUUCAUCCCUAUGAAUGCACGUACGCACAUCCUAACCCUAUAAGCACCUUCGGGAGACUAAGCCGGCACAUCAUCUUAAGAUUGACGAAGUCGCCACAAACGCCAUCGUAGUCGACGGAAACUUCUUUUCACACUGAACGCACAUCGUCGGAAGACUUGAAAUAAAUUUAGGAAAAUGCAAACACCAAUACCAAAUCUGGGAUGUAAAUUCUAAUGGACAGGGUAUACCACAAUCCUUCUAACCAUCCAACUACAGAUUGAUUUUCGAGGUUCUUCACUUCUGAUCGAUGCACUAGUGGAAAACGGGCCUUUGGUCGGGACCCUUUAGUCCCGGCCUGCCUCUGGGCCGGGAUUAAAGGCCCGGCCUCGUCGUCCCAAAUCGCAAUGCCUCCCUCGAGGCUUUAGUGCCGGCCCGUAAGGAGCCUUUAGUCCCGGUUUGUGUCUCAAACCGGGACUAAAGGGCUACGCGGGGUGCAGCCCGCAUGUGCGCCACCUUUAGUCCCGGUUUGUGUCUCAAACCGGGACUAAAGUCCUCUGCCUAUAUAUAGCACAGCCCCCCUCUCCCCUCUUUCUUGCAUUUUUCUUGGAUGGAAGAGUGUGGGUGUGUGCUAGCUCUCCAUUUUUUUUCAUGCACUAGAGGUGUUUGUUGAAAUGUGUGUUAGAGCGAUGCCGCUUCAGUUCACCGAACACAACUACGAUAUGAGAUGCCUGAGCCACGCUUAAACCUCUUCCUCUUUAUUUCUACUUAUUCUAAAAGGUUAGCAACUAUAUUUCCUCGUUUAGACCGUGCGGUACUAAUUUUUAGGAUCGUGAUUGUAUUUGAUAUACUGUCGUAUAACGCAGAUGAGCCAUCCAUGGAUGUAUGGUGAUCGACGCACAGCCGCUUACAGAGAAGGCGUGCAUUCUUUUCGAAAUGCAGCCGAUGCGAACAAGCAUGGUGGUGGCUUUAUGUUUUGUCCAUGUGUUGAAUGUCGGAAUGAGAAGGAUUACACUUCCUCAAGAGUCAUUCAGAUCCACCUGCUUCGGUCCGAUUUUAUGUCGGGCUAUAAUGUUUGGACCAAGCACGGAGAAAGAGGGGUUAUGAUGGAAGACGACGAUGAAGAAGAAGAGAAGGAUGAUGACAACUACCGAUCUAUGUUCCCUGAGUAUGCUGAUACCGCAAUGGAAGACAAUGAAGAAGAAGAUCAGGAUGAAGAACGGAAACCAGAUGAGCCCGCUGAUGAUCUUGGCCGGGUCAUUUCUGAUGCAUGGCGAGGUUGCGACACAGAAAAGGAGAGGUUGCAGUUCGAGCAGAUGUUACAGGACCACAACAAAUUGUUGUACCCAACUUGUGAAGAUGGCCAGAAGAAGCUGGGUAGCACACUGGAAUUGCAGAAGUGGAAGGUAGAGACCGGUGUGACUGACUCAUCAUUCGAAUAGUUGCUGGUACUGAUGAAGAAGAUGCUUCCAAGAAAGAACGAAUUGCCCGCCAGCACGUACGAAGCAAAGAAGCUUGUCUUCCCUCUAGGAUUAGACGUGCAGAAGAUACAUGCAUGCCCUAAUGACUGCAUCCUCUACCGCGGUGAGAAGUACGAGAAUAUGGAUAAAUGCCCGGUAUGCACUGCAUUGCGGUAUAAGAUCAGAAAAGAUGACCCUGGUGAUAUUGAGGGCGAGCCAUCCAGGAAGAGGGUUCCUGCCAAGGUGAUGUGGUAUGCUCCUAUAAUACCACGGUUGAAACGUUUGUUCAGAAAUAAAGAUCAUGCGAAGUUGUUGCGAUGGCACAUGGAAGAUCGUAUGAAAGACGAUAAGUUGAGGCACACCGCUGAUGGUCGGCAGUGGAGAAAAAUCGAGAGAGAGUUUCCGAGAUUUGCAGCUGACGCAAGGAACUUAUGGUUAGGUCGGAGUACAGAUGGCAUGAAUCCUUUUGGGGAGCAGAGUUGCAGUCACAUCACCUGGCCCGUUACUCUAUGUAUCUACAACCUUCCUCCUUGGUUGUGCAUGAAGCCGAAGUUCAUUAUGAUGCCAGUGCUUAUCCAAGGUCCAAAGCAACCCGGCAACGAUAUUGAUGUGUACCUAAGGCCAUUAGUUGAUGAACUUUUACAGCUGUGGGCCGAACGAGGUGUACGUGUGUGGGACGAGCACAAACAAGAGGAAUUUGACCUUCGAGCGUUGCUUUUCAUAACCAUCAAUGAUUGGCCUGCUCUUAGUAACAUUUCAGGACAGUCAAACAAGGGAUACAAUGCAUGCACGCACUGUUUGGAUCAGACAGAAAGUAUAUAUCUGGACAAAUGUAGGAAGAAUGUGUACCCGUACAAUCGUCGUUUUCUUCCGCCCAAGCAUCCCUUAAAGAAAAAAGGCAAGCAUUUCAAUGGCAAGGUAGAACCCCGGGGGAAGCCUGUCAUCCGUACUGGUGCUGAAGUAUUUGAUAUGGUCAAAGAUUUAAAAGUAAUCUUUGGAAAGGGUCCUGGCAGACAACCUGUUCCUAACGGCCCUGAUAAGCGCGUACCCAUGUGGAAGAACAAAUCUAUAUUUGAGAGCUACCCUAUUGGGAAGUCCAUGAGGUCCGCUCGGCAAUCCACGUGAUGCACCUGACGAAGAAUCUCUGCGUGAAUAUUCUAGGCUUCUUGGGCUUGUAUGGGAAGUCAAAAGAUACACCAGAAGCACGGGAGGACCAGGAAAGUCAUAAAGGAAGAGAUGGCAUGCAUCCAGGGCAGUUUCAAGGGCGUGCCAGCUACGCUCUUACUAAGGAAGAGAAGGAAAUCUUCUUUGAAGUCAUUUUCAGUAUCAAGGUCCCGACUGGCUUCUCGUCGAAUAUAAAGGGAAUCGUAAAUAUGAAAGACAAAAAAUUCCAAAACCUAAAGUCUCAUGACUGCCACGUGCUUAUGACGCAAUUGCUUUCGGUUGCAUUGAGGGGAAUUCUACCGGAAAAUGUUUGCCUGGCAAUUGUGAAGGUAUGUGCAUUCCUCAAUGCAAUUUCUCAGAAGGUAAUCGAUCGAGAAAGUCUAUCAGGGUUAGAGAUUGAUGUGGUCCAAUGUCUGGUCAGCUUUGAGUUGUUGUUCCCGCCAUCCUUCUUCAAUAUAAUGACACACCUCCUAGUUCACCUAGUCGAAGAGAUUAUUUAUUCAAUUUCAAACACUUUUCAUUAUCAUAGUUUUGUCAAAUUCUCAAAUAUGCAAAAAGAAUUUUAAUAAACAUAGUUUUUAAUUGAAAAUAACAAAAUAGUUAAUUUUGAAAAUAGAAACAAAUUGAAACUAUAUGAGAAUUUGUAAAGAAACUUAAACCUAAAUUCAAAGUGAGCUCACUUUGAAUUCAGGUUUAAGUUUCUCCACAAUUUCAAAUAUAGUUUCAAUUUUUAAAUUUACAGUCAGUUUAGGCCCGUAAGCCUGCUUGAGAGAGGAGCUCGAUGGAGUAGCUGCGACGGGGCUUAUAAACAAGUGUUAGUCCCCCUUGCUGGGCGAGGUGGGACUAAACUUAUCGUGCAGCCGAGGAGGGGCUUUAGUCCCGGGUGGAGCCACGACCCGGGACUAAAGCCCCUCGCCUGCCGCGUGCCCAGGAGGGGCUUUAGUCCCGGUGCGUGUCUCCAACCGGGACUAAAGACCCCCUUUAGUCCCGGUUGGAGCUCCGCACCGGGACUAAAGGCCCCUGCUUCCCGCCUUCUGGUCUGCCCGAAAAAGGGCCUUUAGUCCCGGGUCGUGGCUCCACCCGGGACUAAAGGGGGCUCGAACCGGGACUAAAGAUCCACCUAUAUAAGCGGGAGUUAGAAAAAUUCCAACCCAAAUCGUUCGUUUCUCUUCUUCUUCCUCUCGUUCUCCUGCCCGGCGCGGCACACCGACGACCUCGACGACGCCGUCAGGCUGCCCGCCGUCCUCCUCGCCGCCGCCUGUCGUCCUCCUCGCCGCNNNNNNNNNNNNNNNNNNNNNNNNNNNNNNNNNNNNNNNNNNNNNNNNNNNNNNNNNNNNNNNNNNNNNNNNNNNNNNNNNNNNNNNNNNNNNNNNNNNNNNNNNNNNNNNNNNNNNNNNNNNNNNNNNNNNNNNNNNNNNNNNNNNNNNNNNNNNNNNNNNNNNNNNNNNNNNNNNNNNNNNNNNNNNNNNNNNNNNNNNNNNNNNNNNNNNNNNNNNNNNNNNNNNNNNNNNNNNNNNNNNNNNNNNNNNNNNNNNNNNNNNNNNNNNNNNNNNNNNNNNNNNNNNNNNNNNNNNNNNNNNNNNNNNNNNNNNNNNNNNNNNNNNNNNNNNNNNNNNNNNNNNNNNNGAAGAAAAGAAGAAAAAGCAAAAGAUUUUUUUUUGUCAUUUAAUUCCUAUUGUUAUUAGGUUUGUGCUACAUUAUUAGGGUUAGUAAUAUUUAGAAUUAGGUUAGGGUUACAAGAAGAAGAAAUAUGAACAAAAAUAAGAAAAUAAGAUUAGGAAAAAGGAAAAUAAGAAGAGGAGGAGAAGAAAAGAAGAAAAAGGAGAAUAAGAAGAGGAGGAGAGGAGAAGAAGAGGAAAAAUAGAAGAAGAUGAGAAGUAGAAGAAGAGGAAAAAUUAGAAGAGGAGGAGAGGAGAAGUAGAAGAAGAGAAGAGGAGAAGUAGGAGAAGAAGAGGAGAAGUAGAAGUAGAAGAAGAGGAUAAAUAGAAGAAGAGGAAAAAUUAGGUUAGGGUUACAAGAAGAAAAAAUAUAUAUUUUUUGUCAUUUAAUUUUGCUAUUGUAUAGUGUAUAUGCUUAAGUGUUAAUAGUUUAUUUUUAGCAAGAAAAUUAAUAGAACUAGUUUAUUUUUUUUAGUUCAUUUUACGAUGCCUAUCCCGCAUCCUCAUCGUCGACUCGGCGGAGGACACCUGCUUGAUCAGAGGGGCCCUGUCCGGGGCUGGGCUCCGCCCGGCUGGUAUUGGGAGGUGCUACCUUCCGGGGGGCGUAGGUUGGUGAGGAGCCAGCCCGUUGUUGACCCGAUCCUUGUUUGGUGGCGGUCGCGUGGGCCAGUGAGGGUGCCGAGGCUUCCGGACACCGCGGAGGUGGUACGUCAUCGUGUCAGCGAGGAGGAUGAGCACGUCCGUCGCUCCAUGGUUGCGUUGGAGGGCAGGUUCGAGCAUACCUCACAGGUUCUUCGGGGAUCUCACUGGAGCUAUGAUCCUGUGAUGGUUCCUUCUCUUUGGAUGUCCACAGCCCGAGACGAUACCCGUCGAGCGCUACGGUUCUAGAUGUAUCAGUGAUGCUAUAUGUAUGUAUUGGGGAACGUCGCAUGGGAAACAAAAAUUUUCCUACGCGCACGAAGACCUAUCAUGGUGAUGUCCAUCUACGAGAGGGGAUAUUCGAUCUACAUACCCUUGUAGACCGCACAGCAGAAGCGUUAGUGAACGCGGUUGAUGUAGUGGAACGUCCUCACGUCCCUCGAUCCGCCCCGCGAACCGUCCCACGAUCAGCCCCAUGAUCUAGUGCCGAACGGACGGCACCUCCGCGUUCAGCACACGUACAGCUCGACGAUGAUCUCGGCCUUCUUGAUCCAGAAAGAGAGACGGAGAGGUAGAUGAGUUCUCCGGCAGCGUGACGGCGCUCCGGAGGUUGGUGGUGAUCUUAUCUCAGCAGGACUCCGCCCGAGCUCCGCAGAAACGCGAUCUAGAGGUAAAACCGUGGAGAUAUGUGGUCGGGCUGCCGUGGCAAAGUUGUCUCAAAUCAGCCCUAAAACAUUCGUAUAUAUAGGGGGAGGAGGGGGAGCCUUGCCUUGGGGUCCAAGGACUCCCAACGGGGUCGGCCGAGCCAAGGGGGGCAACCCUCCCCUUCCAAACCAAGUCCAACUAGGUUUGGAAGGAGGAGUCCUUCCCCCUUUUCCCACCUCCUCGGGGCUCUUUGAUUUUCUUCCUAUGGCGCAUAGGGCCUUCUUGGGCUGUCCCACCAGCCCACUAAGGGCUGGUGUGCCACCCCCAAGGCCUAUGGGCUUCCCCGGGGUGGGUUCCCCCCCGGUGAACACCCGGAACCCAUUCGUCAUUCCCGGUACAUUCCCGGUAACUCCGAAAACCUUCCAGUAAUCAAAUGAGGUCAUCCUAUAUAUCAAUCUUCGUUUCCGGACCAUUCUGGAAACCCUCGUGACGUCCGUGAUCUCAUCCGAGACUCCGAACAACAUUCGGUAACCAACCAUAUAACUCAAAUACGCAUAAAACAACGUCGAACCUUAAGUGUGCAGACCCUGCGGGUUCGAGAACUAUGUAGACAUGACCCGAGAGACUCCUCGGUCAAUAUCCAAUAGCGGGACCUGGAUGCCCAUAUUGGAUCCUACAUAUUCUACGAAGAUCUUAUCGUUUGAACCUCAGUGCCAAGGAUUCAUAUAAUCCCGUAUGUCAUUCCCUUUGUCCUUCGGUAUGUUACUUGCCCGAGAUUCGAUCGUCAGUAUCAGCAUACCUAUUUCAAUCUCAUUUACCGGCAAGUCUCUUUACUCGUUCCGUAAUACAAGAUCCCGCAACUUAAACUAAGUCACAUUGCUUGCAAGGCUUGUGUGUGAUGUUGUAUUACCGAGUGGGCCCCGAGAUACCUCUUCGUCAAACGGAGUGACAAAUCCGAGUCUCGAUCCAUACUAACUCAACGAACACCUUUGGAGAUACCUGUAGAGCAUCUUUAUAGUCACCCAGUUACGUUGCGACGUUUGAUACACACAAAGUAUUCGUCCGGUGUCAGUGAGUUAUAUGAUCUCAUGGUCAUAGGAACAAAUACUUGACACGCAGAAAACAGUAGCAACAAAAUGACACGAUCAACAUGCUACGUCUAAUAGUUUGGGUCUAGUCCAUCAUGUGAUUCUUCUAAUGACGUGAUCCAGUUAUCAAGCAACAACACCUUGUUCAUAAUCAGAAGACACUGAUUAUCUUUGAUAAACUGGCUAGCCAACUAGAGGUUUGCUAGGGACAGUGUUUUGUCUAUGUAUCCACACAUGUAUAUAAGUUUUUAUUCAAUACAAUGAUAGCAUGGAUAAUAAACGAUUAUCUUGAUACAGGAAUUAUAAUAAUAAAUAUAUUUAUUAUUGCCUCUAGGGCAUAAUUCCAACAGUCUCCCACUUGCACUAGAGUCAAUAAUCUAGCCCUCACAUCAUCAUGCGAAUUACAUUGUAAUAAAUCUAACACCCAUACAGUUCUGGUGUUGAUCAUGCUUUGCCCGUGGAAGAGGUUUAGUCAGCGGGUCUGCUACAUUCAGAUCCGUGUGCACUUUGCAUAUAUUUAUGUCCUCCCCUUCGACGUAGUCGCGGAUGAGGUUGAAGUGUCGUUUGAUGUGUCUGGACUUCUUGUGAAACCGUGGUUCCUUUGCUAGGGCAAUGGCACCUGUGUUGUCACAGAACAAGGUUAUUGGAUUUAGUGCGCUUGGCACCACUCCAAGAUCCGUCAUGAACUGCUUCAUCCAGACACCCUCCUUAGCCGCCUCCGAGGCAGCCAUGUACUCCGCUUCACAUGUAGAAUCUGCUACAACGCUCUGCUUGGAACUGCACCAGCUUACCGCACCCCCAUUAAGAAUAAAUACGUAUCCGGUCUGCGACUUAGAGUCGUCCGGAUCUGUGUCGAAGCUUGCAUCGACGUAACCUUUUACGGCGAGCUCUUCGUCACCUCCAUACACGAGAAACAUCUCCUUAGUCCUUGUCAGGUACUUCGGGAUAUUCUUGACCGCCAUCCAGUGAUCCACUCCUGGAUUACUCUGGAACCUACCUGCCAUACUUAUGGCCAGGCUAACAUCCGGUCUAGUGCACAGCAUUGCAUACAUGAUAGAACCUAUGGCUGAAGCAUAGGGGACGGUGCUCAUAUGCUCUCUAUCCUCAUCAGUUGCUGGGCACUGAGUCUUACUCAAUCUCGUACCUUGUAAAACUGGCAAGAACCCUUUCUUGGACUGUUCCAUUUUGAACCUCUUCAAAACUUUAUCAAGGUAUGUGCUUUGUGAAAGUACUAUCAGGCGUUUUGAUCUAUCCCUGUAGAUCUUAAUGCCUAGAAUGUAAGCAGCUUCUCCUAGGUCCUUCAUAGAGAAACUUUUAUUCAAGUAAUCCUUUAUGCUCUCCAAAAACUCUACUUUGUUUCCAAUCAGCAAUAUGUCAUCCACAUAUAAUAUUAGAAACACCACAGAGCUCCCAAUCACUUUCUUGUAAAUACAAGAUUCUCCAACCACUUGUAUAAACCCAAAUGCUUUGAUCACCUCAUCAAAGCGUUUGUUCCAACUCCGAGAUGCUUGCACCAGUCCAUAAAUGGAUCGCUGGAGCUUGCACACCUUGUUAGCAUUCUUAGGAUCGACAAAACCUUCGGGUUGCAUCAUAUACAACUCUUCCUUAAGGAAACCGUUAAGGAACGCCGUUUUGACAUCCAUCUGCCAGAUUUCAUAAUAAAAAAAAGCAGCUAUUGC
rnacentral:lncRNA from 1 species